GCACAUAAAAAACAAAGACUAUGUAGUAAAGCCUCCCAUAUUUGCUGACCAAACAUGUAAGAAGCCAUCAACAAUGGAAAAACUGUGACCAUUGACUUGAAACUACUAGCUGGGCACAAAGUCGUGCAUCAUCUAGCUAGAUGAAAGAGGUCAAAACAACAGCAGCAUCACAAAAGGGAUGAUAUUAUAAACACAACAACACUAAGGCCCAUCAUGACCACUGGAUUUGAAUCCAAUGGUUGAUGUUGGACGUUGACUCAAACCAUCGGUCUUCUGAAACUUGAUUUCCCUUUACAUGAUUGUGCAUGGCGCCGAGGGAUAUUAGUCUUCACAAACAUAUGCACUUCUGCACACACUUCGGCAACUACAACAACCAUCUCCCCAUAUAUCACACUCUGACCAUCUACAAGGUACAUAACAAUAUGCAGGAGGUGUUGGCAUACAAAAGUGAUUGCAUACAAAAGUGAUAUCGACAACAGCUACUGUUUGUUGUUUUGGUUCAGGCUUCGGAUCAGGCGGCUUGAUGAUCUCAAUGCACUUGACAGUUGGACCUCCUUUGCAGUAUAUUUUUUUCUUGAUCUUUUCAGGACAGCAACCCACCACAGUGAUUGUCACUGUGUUUUCCUUCUCGACAUAUUCCUGGUUCUGGAUUUCUAUUGUUCAUUAAUUAAUUAACAUCAUCAAAUCCACAAAACUUAGUCACUUCCUUUGGUAAUAAAAACAACUCAAACCUAGCACUGUUCUUAAAGAGAAAAAAAGAAAGACUCACGAGGGAUAGCACACAGUACUCUCUUGAUUUUCUUGUGGCAUUUUUCGCAUCCAAGGUCAACCACCUUAAUCUCCAUCGUUGUGACUUUCUGUAACAGUAGUACGUAGUUAGUGCAUGCAUUUUAUAUAGGACCUCACCAUGAUCAUUAAUCCCAAUAGAAAACAAAGAAAAUCUCACGAUAAAUUUAUAGACAGAAAGAUUGGAAGAACUCAAAACAUGUUCUGACAUGGAAGAAUCCGCUGUAGAGAUAUCAAGAACUUGUACAUAUAUAGGACCUCCACGUAAAAAGAAGAAAAGCCAAAUUAAGAGGAUCGAUGCAUUAAAAGAUAAAUUAACACACACAAAUAUAUAUCAUACCGUUUCUUCCAUGGUUUUGUGUAUGCUUUGAUCCGAUGAGACGAUGGAAAUACUGAGAGUAUAUAUAUAGAGGUGUGGGAGGGGGGGCUAAUUUAAUUAAGAUAAAUACAUGCAUCUGAGACAUGGGAGGCCUCAAUUUAGUUGUCCUUGCAUUUUUAGACCAAUAAGAUGAGGAAAUGUGGACUUGGGAGUGGAAACUUGAUGCAACCAUCGUAAAUAUCGUCACUGCUGACCCAACAAUCUUUCAUCAGCAAGAGAUGGUUUUGAUGUGCACAUCUCACCUUCUAUUUUGUUAAUCAAUUCAAAGGUUAAGCUAAAUUGUGAUUUGAAUUCCUUAUCCUUCGCUGUUAUAGUCAUCAUUGGGUUUGAAUUCCUAUGAAAUGGCAUUUUUAUAUAUAUAAUUGUGAUUUUUUUAAUAUUUCAUGCUGUGCUUUAUUAAUAUAUCGAUUUGGAAAGGAGAAAGAGCCUGAAGUGCUUCAAAAGAUUAAAGGGGUGGCUAUCUGCCAAUUGCCAUGUGUGGGCACAAGGGAGAGAAGUUAAAGAAAAAAAAUUGUGGGCUCCAGAAAUAUUCCAUGAGUGCAAAACUACAAAAGAAAGAUGAUUUUACUUUGAAAUUUAUGCCACCGCGGGUCAUGGAAGACAUUAUUCGGUAUCAAAAAUUAUUUUUGUUUAAAAUUAUUUUUUUAUAUAUUUUUAAAUUGUUUUAUGUGCUGAUAUCAAUAAUAAAUUUUAAAAAAUUAAAAAAAUAUUAUUUUGAUACAUUUCUAAAUAAAAAUAACACUAAAAAUAACCGCUACUAUAUUCUCCAACAUCCUCGAAGUAAUGUUUGUUAUUGCGAUUCAUUGUGUUUUUAAGAGUGUUCGUAGUUUAAAAAUACAUUAUAAUAAAUUCGUUUUGAUUUUUUUAUUUUUGACAUCAACGUAUUAAAAUCAUCGAAAUAUAUUAAAAAAACAAUUUAAUACCUUUUUAAGCCAAAUAUAAUUUUAAAACGCACUCAAACAUAAUUUAAACACAAAAUCAAACGAAGCCUAGAAGAAAGCAGCCAUUGAACAUUCUCUAAUUUGAUGUGGCCUCACCAUAUAUAAAUCGGGUUUCCAUUAACAUUAAGCUUAGCUCGUGGCUCACAUGACAAGACUAGGACUGAUUAUAAGCAUAAGGGCCACCUGACCAGUCUCUUUUAUGGUAUUCUUUUUAGUUUAUUAUAUCUUAUAGUCAAUCGGUUGGUUACAAGUAACAUUAUUUACCCUUUUUCCCUUGGGUUCCAUUGUGGUGUAUGAUCCCUCCUUAUUGACUAAAUUUUGGCUUUGCAUUCUUGUGCUUCCGAGCACCAUAAAUAAUUCACCACUCCUCCAUAUUAAGUAAUUGGGGCUGGUUGAGGAUUUUUUUACUGUUCCUCUCUAUAGACUAAAAUAAGCUACCCCAAUUACAUCUGGUGGCGUCUAGCUCAACUAAAAAAUUAACCUCUUUGAACAAACUAGAUACUUGGCUAAUCCCCCGGUUUUUGGUAUAAGUAACGAGGGUGAGUAACUAAUAUAAGUAGUUAAACCAAUCAAUCGGACCCAUCAUUUGUCACCACAGCUCAUAAAAUAUGACGAAUUGUCCACCCAAUAAGCUAUCCACCUGAAAUUACUAUGAUAGAGUGCUUAAUAUUUUUUCACUCAUGCCUUCUCAUCUAGGUUGUUCCACUCUUUGCUUCAAAUCAGCCUAAUAUUGAACAACAAAAAAUUUAUUGAAAACUUCUCUCGAUGUCUUUAAGUGAUUGACUAUCCAUAUAAAUAGUAGAGGAACACAACACCGUAUCGCUCUUUUUCCAUUCAGUAUAUAAUGGUUUAGGGAUAAGAGAGUUUCAGUUAAGAUAACUAAGAUGAAGUUAUUCUUUGUCCAUUUAUACUCAAUGAAGACAUUGACAACUUCAAUACUGAUGAUCCCAACGGCUUCUGAAGGAAACAAAACUAACCUGAAGAUGGCGAAAUCAACUACUUGGUAUUUCUCUUCUCCUAGCUUUCCAUUGUCUUUAUCUGUCUUCAACUUAUUCUCAAUCAGCUUCCACUAAAAUCCUCCAUUAGACGUCCUAUAUUGAUCAACUUGGUUUAGAUGUAUUAAUUUUACGACCUCGACAAUUUUGUUCUCAAUUUUUUAUUUGAAAUAUACUUUGUGAGGGUUUUUUGUGAAGUUUAAAAUAUGGGCAUACUCUUCAAUGGUAAGGAUCAUGUCAUUGUCUCCGAAGGUGAAACAUAUAUAACCUAGAUUCCAAAAAUGUAUUGACUUGCUGAAAUUUGAAUUGAGAUAUUUAUUAGGUGGGCAAUUCUCUUAUACUUCUUCUCAAACAAAGUCUCAUCCACAUACUCCAAGACUGACACAAGCUUCUUUAUAUUGUCCAUGGAGUAAUAUACUUUGGUCAUGUGUGAUAGUUCCCCAACCUCGGUCAUUGGGCAAUCCUCUUCAACUAAUUGCAUCAUCUCGAAUCUUUCCCCAUACUCAGAGAAAAUUAUGGAAGUCAUGGUCUUAGCUCAAAAACCCAUGUAGAGUUCAAGAUUUUAAUCAGGUUUGCCCUAAUGCAAAAUGAAAUAUUAAGGAGUCCAUACCCUAAAGGGAGGUUCUAGGUUAUUAAAUGAGGGGUAAGUUCACUAUCUGAUCUCAAAAGGGUUUAUGAUCUAUCUAGUAACCACCUUUCAUGAAGGCAGUAUAAGGGUUUACAAGAAAUGGUUGGGGCAUAGUGUGACCGUCAUUAUCAAAUAAACGCUCAACUCAUAGUUGGAUGUUUCAUGAAUCUGAACCCCGACUGAAAGUCAUGCAACAAACCGCUACUCUGCACUUAACCUAGAGUUCGGUUUAUUCAAAAAUUAAGAUGCAUAAAGGCAUUAAUCUAUACCCGAUGUACUUAUGCAUGAAAAAUAUAUAAAAAUGCAUACUAAAGCAGUAAAAAGAAAAAUAUGCCUAAGUUAAAUUAAACAGGCCAACAAAAUAAUUAGGCAAAUAAUCAAACAAACAAAGUUUAGUACAACCCGACAAGUCCCCUGUGGAGUUACCAUCCUAUCGUGACAACGUCGUGUGACGGAUCUGCCUCCUAGAAUUAAGGGUGUUUUGGGUUUAAUCAUAAAGUUAUAAUUAUAGAGUUCAGGAAUCACCAGCUUGUAUUAUGGUCAUUAUGAAAUCUAAUGGUCUGUGAGAGUCUGGGUAAAGAGAUUAGUUGUGCAAGGAGAAGAUGUAUCACCCUCAAUACACCCUACAUAAGGUAAACUGCAUUGUUGAUUGAUUAUUUUUCUAAAUCAUGUUUCUAUUCGUUGGUCUCAUCUAAGAUUAAAGGCAAAUCUCCCUUCAUGAGGAAGUCUCUAACUUGAUGGGUUAAAUCUUAAUCGUUUUAAGGCCCAUAUUUAGCAUCACAUUUAUUUUAUCUAUUGUAUCUUUAAUACUUGAGGGUAUAUUUUACAGUGUAAUUUUAUACUCUCAAAUAUUAAAGUCUUAUAGAUAAAUUAUAACUCUCUGAAUAAAAAAACUAAUUGUUGUGAGAUUUUUGGUAUUUUGAUCAAACCCUAAUGGAUAAUUAUAAACCAGUUAUGAUAUCCAUUUUGUAUUUUUAAAACACGAUAAAAAAUGUGAUUUUAUCCUUCUUAGAAAAUAUAAAUGAAAAUACUUUAGGAUUUGGCCAUAUGUACAAAAACAAAAUAUUUUUUGUUUUUGAAAUGAAGGUUUUUUAAAAACUUUUUGAUUUUUUUGAAAUUUCAAAGAAAAUAAGAUAUUUUUUAUAUUAGAAAUGUAUCUUACAGUGUAAGUCUACGACACGAUAUUAGGCAAAAUUAUUAGAAAAAACAUGCGACGGACCUAAAUGAUUUUAAAAUGGUCCUUAAAAUUUUUUAGUUUUUUUUUUUUGGCUUUUUAUUAGGCUUGUUUGGUUAAACCUUAAAACAAAGAUGUAUAAAAAGAGUAAAGGAAAGGCAUUACAGUGUGUUAGGCAAACACACCCUUAGUCUAAGAAAUGGGUUGGUUGGGCCCGAGGCCCGAGCUUGGUCUAAUUGUGUUGGGCUGACUAAAGGCCCAACAAUUUCCAUUUUUAGUGUCGCAAGGGGGCGCGAUGUUGUCUGGCGACGGCGAAGGCUUUCUGUCGUGCCUCCUGUUGUGAGGUAUUGUGUGCUGGGAAGGGUUUUUGGAUUUAAUCAUAAAAUUAUAAUUAAUGUUUAGGAGUCACCACCUAGUAUUAUGGUCACUAGGAACCCAUGGUCUGCGAGAGUCUAGGUAAGAGACUGGUUGUGCAAGGGGAAGACACAUCAUCCCAGUGCACCCUACCUAAGGUAAGCUGCAUUGUUGUUUCACUGUUUUUUCUAAGUCGGGUUUCCAUUCGUUGGUCUUUUCUAAGGCUCAAGGCAGAUCUCUCUUCAUGAGAGAGUCUCUACCUUAUCGGGUUAAAUCCUAAGCGUUCUAAAGUCUGAAUUUUAGCAUCGUAUUUUUACACCUUGUAUCUUUAAUACUUCAGGGUGUACUUUAUCGUGUAAUUUUACACCUCACAAAUAUUAAAGUCUACAUCUGGAUCCUAAAAAAAAGAUUGGAAAAAUAUUUUUGACAUGUUGGCCAAAUCCUAAUGGAUAAUCAUAAACUGGUUAUGAUAUCCAUUUUUGGAUUUUUUUUAAACAUGAAAAAGAUGCAGUUUUUGUUUUUUUUUUUAUGAAAAAUAUGCUUGGAAAAAUUUUAGGAUUUGGCCGUGUGCAUCAAAAUAGUUUUUUUCUUUUUGAAAUUUUUUUGAAAUUUUUUUCUUUUUUAAUUUUUGAAAUAUUUUGAAGAAAACCGAGUAUUUUAAUACCAGAUUUGUAUUUUACAGUGUAAAUAUACAAACCGAUAUUAUGCAAAAUUGGUAGAAAAUAUAUGCGAGAAAAUAACAAUUUUUUUUAAAUUAUUUUUUUGAAAAAUUUUUAUUUUUUUAAUAUUAUAACACACACACACACACAGAGGAGUGGCUGCUGCUCACGUUACAGGAACUGUCGUGGUCGAUGCUGGAGUUGCUAACGGUUGGAGUUGUUCAAGUCUCCGCUAUGACGAGAGAGUACCUCUGCUGCUGUUUCUAAGGAUGAAAGCCCCUAGAAGGGGUGGUUGCUGCCUCUGCUGCUACUGUUGAGGUUGCGGUAGCAGAGAAGAAAGAGGAUGAAACAGGUCUGCAGGAGAGAGAGGGAGUCGCGGUGGCUGCUUGGUGGUUGUGCCGGCUUCCUAUGGUGGAGCUGGUAUUUUUGGUGGUGUGUAGGCCGGGUGUGUUGCUAUUCUCGCCGGAGAAGGCAGCUGUGGAAGAGGUGGAGAGAGAAAGAAAGAAAAACAGAGAGAAAGUUGCACAAACCGGGAAGAAGCUGAUUUUUUGGCUUAUUUUAGACCCGAUUUCCUCCUCCAUCAGGCCAUGAAAUCCACCUCUAUUUAUAGGCGGUGGAAGAGGGCAAUCUUGUCUACACUGGAGAAAAAUUUCAGCCCUUGAUUUAGAUGGGAAGGAUCCCAACCGUUGGCUCAAAGUAGGCAUGGUGCACUGUCAAAUUGUCAAAUUUGCAGCUGUAGGCUGCCUGAGUUGGCCUUUUUGGGGUGGUGCCACGUCCAUUUAUUUGCCAGUGAGCCGGUGAAGACCAUACCUAGAUGUAGAGGGAUGUCUGUUGAUCAGUUUCGUGCAAGUUUUGACAAAUUUGAUGGAUGUUAGGUACAUUAAAUGCAGCUGCAAAGUAGGUAACCGGACCAGCUAUUUCAGAGAAUUAAAGAAGAAGAUGAACAGUACCAGAACUCUGUUUUUGGCCAAAGUUCAUUUCAGUCCUUCCUCUUUCAACUGCUUUCAAUUGAACCUCUAAUUGACCCUAAACUUUUUUAAUUAAGACCCUGGUGAACUUCAAUUAGAGCCCUGAAGUUACGCGCCUAUUGCGAUAUGGUCAUUGGUCUCGGAUUUCUUCAAUUUAACCCCUAAUUGACCUCAAAACUUCAAUUUUCUUACAAUUUUGCCCCUGAUUUCAAUCAAAUAACUUGGUAAAAAUUAAAUUUGGUCUCUUAAAAUUCCAAUCUUCUCAAUUAAGCUCAAAUUAGGCUCCCAAACUUAAUUUUUCACCAAUUAAGCCCCAAAUAAAAUUAAUUUGACCCAUUUAAAGUAUAAUUAAGCCCUUGCACUUAAUUAAAUCCUUCAAUUGGACCCAAAUUAAUUCUUAAACAUAAUUAAAAUUCAAUUUGGCCCAUGAUUAAAUCAAAUUGGCCUAUUAAAAAUUUAAUUAUGUCCUUGAACUUAAUUUUUAUGCAAAUUCGUCCAAUAAUCAUUUAAUUUGACCUUGAAUUUGCAUUUUUUCUCAAUUUUUGGGCAUAAUGGGGUAUAAUUAGGCCUUGAAUUUCCUUCAAAAAUUGCAGCUUGAUUUCCCGGUCUGCUUUCUCCACGUUGCCAGCCUUUAUUUUAUUUUUUGAUUUUUUUUUUGAAAAAAAAAUUGAUUUUGAGGGAAUAACCCAGAAUUGAGUUAUGACAUUUAGGAUGGGCUACUUUGGCCCGAGUCCCAAGCUCGACCCGGUCGAGUUAGCCUGACUGAAGGCCCAACAAUAUUUUCUUUUCCUUUAAAAAAAAUUGGUUAGACCCUUCCCAACCAUGUUGGGUGGGCUGAAAUAGGCUGAGCCUAUCUUGGUCUUUGUUAACAAAAGCAAGCAGCUGUAUGACGUGAAUUAAUUCAUUUCCUGCAUGCAAUGAAGGAGUAAAAUCACAGGAAAGAAGGGUGACUACCUGGCGCAGAGGAAAAGAAUCGAUGUCGCUACUGGUCUGUUGGCGUGGCUGAGAUGUUGUUGGAGUGCUCCUGGCGUCGUUGCUGGAGGUUAUUGUGAAGAGGAAGAAAAGGAAGCUUGCGAUGCUGUUGCUGUUUGUGGAUAAGGUGGAGGAGAGGAGCUGGUUGUCUUUGAUGGUUUGGUUAAAGGGGGUGAAAAUGGAGAUGAGGAAGGGUGGUUGGUUGGGCAGUUAAAAAGGCUGACUUUCUAGCUUAUUGUCUCUUCAGAGUUCUCCUUACUUAAUCUCAAAAUUCACUUGUAUUUAUAGGGUAUGAAAAAAGAGACAUCUUGUCUAUAGUGGGAACAAAUUUUGGCUCUUGAUUCAAACGGGAAGGAUCUUAAUCCUUGGUCCAAAGUCAUCAUCAUAAGCUGUGAAAUUUGGCUGCAAAAGGUUGAUCGGGUUAGUCUCUUUAAGACGACGGCUAUAAAGACAACCAGCCGACAAGAAUUAUGUUGGGGGUAUUGUAUGGUGUCAGGGUAUCAGAGUAGUGUCUUGUUUGUCUUGUUUGGUGGAGAGUUGAGGCAUUAUAUGUCCUGAAAAAGUAAUCAUCCGAAUAGUCUUUCGGGUACAAAAGGUUGAAGAUGAUGUACAGUUGUCAAAUGACAAUUCAUUUGACAUCCUUUUUUUGGUUUUUAUGUUAGUAAAAAUGGCGUCGUUUUGUACCAAAACAAAUUGUUUUUACAUCCUUAGGGAUUUGACUAAAAUUCAAUUUAGUUUUUUUAUAUAUUUUAAUUUUUUAAUUGCAUCCCUAAUUGAUUUUAAACUUAUAAUUCCAUGCGAUUUUACCCUUGUCAAACUCAAAUAUCAACCAUAAAGUUUAGUUCCUUUUCAUUUUGAUAAUUGGUUUUGGAUUUAUGCAAAUUGAUUCUUAAUUGACCAUUACACUUUUAAUUUGGUUUAAUUUCACCUAUGUUUUCAACCAAAUUGAAUCUUUGAAGUUUAAAGCCUUUUUCAAAAAGAUUUUUGGUUGUGAAUUUCUUCACUUUAACCCGUAAUUGACCCUAAACUUUGAUUUUCUUGCAAUUUUAUCCUUGAUUUUAAUCAAUUCUUCAUAAAAAAAUCAAGUUUGAUCCUCUAAAAUUCCAAUCUUUUUGGUUUUUUACCAAUUAAGUCCCUAACAAAAUUAAUUUGACCUAUUAAAAGUAUAAUUAAAUCCUUGCACCUAAUUAAAUCUUUUAAUUUGGCCCACGAUUAAGUUAAAUCGGCCUAUUAAAAAUCUAAUUAAGUCUCUGAUCUUAAUUUUUAUGCAGAUUCGUUCAAUAAUCAUUUAAUUUGACUUUGAAUCCGCAUUGUCUCUUUAGUCUUGGGUAUAAUGGGGUAUGAUUAGGCUUCUAAUUUCAUCCAAAACUCCAACUUGAUUCUUCUACAUUUUUGAAACCCUCCUGGACAUGUUUUUGCUAAGUUGUCAAUCUUCUUGUUAUUAUUAUUUUAUUAUUUUUUUUAUUAUUUUUUGAAAGGAAAAGGGUAAGUUUAGAGGGGGGAACAAAAAUGGAUUAUGGCACCUUUUAUUUUUUGGUGGUUAUCUGUUAAACAGAAACAUUAUAUAAGUCAUAGAAUAGAGAGCUAGCACUUUAGACAUAACAAUUUAUUUUUCCUGAAUAAGGAUUUAUGAGAUUUAUCACUAGUAGUUCGUGUGGAUUAUCGUUAGAGACCAGAUAAUUAGACGGCUUGUGAUUUGUGAUAACCCAACCUUUAAGGAAUUAUUCAAAACUCAAGAAGAUCAAAUCUUCAGGUAAUGAAUCGCUAAACAACUCUAGAUCCGUCUAACAUGAUAUUAGAAACUCUCGAAUAAUUUUGUUUUAUUAUUUUCACUGCAUGCAUGAUAUUCAAGAACCCUAAAAUUCCUUGCAAUACAACAUUGUUUCAACACAUUAUGAAGUUUUUAUUUUAACACACGAGUUUUCCAAUAAAAAUUGAAUUGAUGAUGAUAGAGUGAUGGUGAUAAAGAUAUUUUGAUCACAUGAUAUAUUAAAAAAAUUAACAUACCAUAUUUAUAUGAAUAACCAAUAGUUUCUUUUCUGUUGAUGUUAAGUUUUUUUUAUUGAAAUAAUAAAUUUUGUUAGUGUUUGUUUUUAUUGUCAAACCAUGCUUUUGAAAACAAUGAUUUUUUUUUUCAAAUUAAUUUUUUGUGUGUUUUUGGAUUGUUUUGAUAUACUGAUGUUGAAAUUUUUUUUAAAAAAAUAAUAAUAAAAACUAUUAUUUUGAUGCAUUUCUAAGUAAAAAGCACUUUAAAAAACAAACACUGUCAUCAAGUCAAACACUUAGGGAGUGUCUGAGAGUGUGGUGGCGAUUAUUUUUUAAAGUAUUUUUCACUUAAAAAUAUAUCAAAAUAAUAUUUUUUUAAAUUAUUUUUUAUAUUAGAACUUUAAAAUGAUAAAAAUCUAAAAAAUAAAUCUUUAAUAAAAAAAUUAUAUUUUAUAAAACACGUUUUGCAACACAAUUCUAAAGUGGGCCUUGUCAAAAAUGCAUGGUCGUCUUUGAUCGAUACCAAACCAAAACGCAAACAGGCAGAACCAAUUAUCAUAAUAUGAAGUCAAAGUUCUAUUGGAUUCCAUUAUCAGGAACGCUUACACGUCAUAAAAAAGACAAGGUGAUUUUGAUGACAUGGCUAUACAAAGAUGAUGUGACAUCACAAGUCAAUUUCUUUUAUUGAUUAAAUUCUUUUAUUGACAUCACAUGUGUUGUAUAUAAUAUAUUAUUUUUAUUUUUAAUAUUAAUGCAUUAAAAUAAUUCAAAAAUAUAAAAAAAUAUUAAUUUACAAAUUAAAAAAAUUAAAAAAGAACUUUCAGAAAAAUACUACCUAACUAGAAAUAGCUUUUGUUUAUAACAUUAGCCAUGAGGGACACUAUUGGUUGGUGAGACAUUAAAAAAAUUAAGUUAAUAAAUAAUUAAGAAGGAGUUAAUCAAGAAAGGUUAAUUGUCCCAUUAAAGUGAAGACAAGAGGGGAUAUGCUGGGAUUGGGAAUCGAGUCUAACAAGGAAGUCUGUCAUGUCAUUCCUUUCAGGGCGUAGCUGGCAGCAAUGUCUUUUGUGUGGACAAAUGGCAUGCUGCUAUUGAUCUGGAGGCAGCAUAUAUGAUUUUGUUGAAAUCGUCAAAUAUGUAUCAAAAUCAUGAUUUUACAGAUUUUAUUCUAUUUCAACUCAAUUUUAUUAAUUUUUAAGUUUUUAAAAUAAUUUUGCACAUUAAAUAUAAGUUAAACCGCUAUUUUAACAACAUUAUCUUGUACUAUUCAUUUUGUUUUAUUUCCAUCUUUUGCUAUAACAUCAUUGCUCUAAAUAAUAUUUUUAAAAACAAUUAAUUUUUUUACACUAAAUUAAAUAUUUUUUAAUAUUUUAAAAUUAUUGUGAUAUAUUAAUAUUAAAAAUAAAAUUUAAAAAAUAAAAAAAAAUUAUUUUAAUAUUUUUUAAAUGAAAAACACUUUAAAACUAUUGGGUAUUGUGAUAGCGGUUUUUUCCAAAGUGUUUUUUAUUUGAAAUAUAUUAAAAUAAUAUUUUUUUAUUUUUCAAAAUUUAUUUUUAACAUUAACCUAAAAAAAAUAUGAAAAUAUUAAAAAAAAUAGUUUUUAUAAGAAUAUUUUUAAAACUAGAAAAACGGGGUCUUAAUCCUAAGCCGGUCACUGAAAUAGUGGCCAGUCAUUAUUAGACAUGCCACCUUUUCGGAACAUGACUGGAAAAAAAUCAAUCAGUAAUCACAUGCCAAGUGUCUUAAUUGGUGGCCCGCAGCUUAUAGCCGGUCCAAUCAACUACAUGAUGAUAAUCUAUCACGAUAAACAUACCACCAUAUUCACAAAUAAUAAUUACUAGCCGUUUAACUUGCUGGUUAUAAUUCUUUUUAAAAAUAUCAGGGAAUCUUUCGAGGUGUUUUUUAUAUAAAAAAAUUCAAAAUAAAAAUUAUAAAGUUAUCUAAUUAAAUAAAUUAAUAAUUAUUUAUGUAAAUAAAAAUAAAAUUAUUAACAAUAAUCAAGAAAAAAACUAAAAACAAUUGAGAGAUAAAAUUAAAUCAACAUAUUCAAUUAUAUUGAAUGAGGCUUUUCACCUGAUUAUGUUUAUCGAAUUUAUUUAUUUAAAUUAAUAAAAAAUAAAUUCACAACAUGAAAAACUCAUGACUUAAAAAAUAAAUACAAAUAAAAUUGAUUGAAUAAACUCAAAUUAUAAAAAAAAAUAUUAUGCAAAACCGAAUACAUUUACUAAUGUUAUUAACCGGUCCAAUCAACUACAUAAUCUAUCAUGAUAAGCAUGCCACCACAUUCACAAAUAGUAAUUAGUAGCCAUUUAACUUGUGAUUCUCUGUGGGUUAUAAUUUUUAACAAAAAUACUGGGUAUACAGGCUAUUUCAAAAUGUUUUUUACAUUAAAAAAAUUAGAGUAUAAAUUGAAAGGCCUAUAAAAAUAUCUAAUUAAAUAAAUCGAUAAUAAUUUAUGUAAAUAAAAAAAUUCAUUAAUAAUAACCUAGAAAAAAACUGAAAAAAAUGAGAGAUGAAAGUAGAUCCAUAUAUUCAAUAACAUAAAAUAAGAGUUCUGAUUGUGUGCAUCGAACUUAUUUAUUUAAAUCAAUGAAAGAUAAAUUCACACCAUGAAAAACUCAUGACUUAAAAAAUAAAUACAAAUAAAAUUGACUAAAUAAAACCAAACCAUAAAAAUAUUACGCAAGGCUGAACACAUCAAUGAUAUUAUUGAAAAAUGAAUAUUUUUUUUGAAAAAUAAAAUUUAUUUGAAUAAAAACAAUUAUAGAUGAAUUAGAAUAAUAUUUUAAAAAUAAAACAAAAAUAGAAAAACUAAAAAAACUUAUAUUAAAAGAAGACAUGCAAAAUUCACAACCUAAAUCAUGAGACUGGAAUAAACUCAAAUAAAAAACUUGAAGAUAAUCACAAAACCAAUAUUAAACAAAAAAACUAUUUUAGAACGAUAAGAUCGUACCAAGUCAAAUCCCCAAUAAAUUGAAUGUUAAAAGAAGAAACCAGCAAAAAAAAUCAAUUACACAAUGAUCUAAAAAAUGGAGCGUGAAAAAAAAAUUAAUUAGAGGGAUAAAAAUCUUCAAUUGAAGAGUUAAAUUGAAUUGAAACAUAGAUUUAAUAGAAAGAAAAACAAAUCAAAAGAAAGAUGGUCAAACUGGAAAAAAAAAACAACAAAAAAAUUGAUUGAAUGAUGAAAUUGAAAGCUAAUAAAACUUCAACAAAAGUGUCAAGGAGAAAAAAAAAAGGACCGAAUGAAAAACAAAACAUAUAGGAAAUUGCAAUUAAAGAACUAAAUUGAAAAAAAAACUUUUAUAAAAUAAAUAAGAAUGAAAUAAAAAAUUAAGAGAAUGAUGACUGAAAAAAAACAUACAAGAAAUAUUAAUUGCAUGACUAAAUUGAGAAGAAAAAAACUUCUAUAAAUGGAAAAAGAAUGAAAUAAGAAACAAAGAGAAUGAGGAUUGGAAUUGAAAAGUAAGAAAGAAAGAGGAUAGUGAUGUACAUUACUUGUCAUGAGAUAGAACAGAAGAAGAAAAAAAUUAAACAACCACCAACGACAAUUCGACCACAGUCAGUUGCCAAGUGCCGCUCCACACAGAAAAGGACACGAUAGCGUAUUUAAGGAGAUGAUGGAAGGCUGAUUUUGGCCACCGGUGACAUUACACAUGCUGCCUAAAUGGCGCGGACAGCACACACUUGUUGGCACGUGUUCAACAUGCGCCAAUAGCUUUUCUCUUUUAAAAAUUCAAAAAUAAUGUGAAAAUACCAAAAUGCCCCAAUGACCGUGGUAAUUACAUUAAAUACUCGUGUGAAAUUACAAAACCCCCAUUAAUGCAAAACUUAUUUUUUGUUUUUUCCAAGGUUAAAGACAUACUUUAACUAUACAUGGAUAUUUGAAAACCUCAUAAAACCCUCAAUUAGCAACCUAACAAUUUUCUAACCUUGGAGGCAAAUAAGUAUUUUUAUUGUUAAGAAGCUUACGAAAAGUCAAGAAAGCCCUUGAUCAACAGUUUUAAUUUUUUUUGACUUUGGGGGUAAAAUAGUAUUUUAUUAUGAUAAAAAUUGAAAAAGACAAAAACACCCUCGUAGAAUCUUUUAAUGACCAAUGAGCCAUUGAAAAAGACCAAGACACCCCCACCCUCAAGGCUUCAUCUUUUUUCCACUCAAGGAAAAAAUGGUAAUUUUAUUAUAACAAUCCACAAUAAACUGUAUCUUAGGCUGUGGUGAAACUCUCAUGGGUUUUAGAGUUUUUGUUAACUAGUUUUUUUAGCUACGCUGCUGAGGGUCAGUUGAUGUUACGUAUUGGAUGAAAUAUAUUUUUUUUUAAAAUAUAGAUCAACCUGGACAAACCUAUAUAACUUGCGAUAUGGGUAAUGUGAUCAUGAUAAAACCAUGGAACCCAUAUUAAAAAAAAUUAGGUAGCUCAAUUAUAAUGAACCAAAUAUUGAAGGCUAAAAGUGAAAAAAAAUAAAUUUUACAAAAAUGACUCGAGAAAGUAACUUGAGUAAACCUACAUCGAUGGUCUACACAAUGUUGCGGGUUCAACCAGAUUUUUCUUAAUGGAAAAAUAAAAAAGUUCAGGUGACACUAGAAUUUUUAAAGAAGUAAAAAACAUUUUGAGACUCGGGUCAUUGAGUCGAUUGGGUAUAAUAAGUUAAGUUAAUUUAAUAAUAUAAAAAAGGCAACUCAAAUUUAAUAAUAUGAAAAAAACAAGCAAUCUCAGCAAAUAUUCUAAACUUAGGUUAAUAUCUCAAAUUCACAACUUGUAAAAUCGUAGACCGGGGUUCAAUUAAGAAACUCAAUUCUCAACCAAUUUAAUAUUUAAGAAUGAAAUUGAAAAAAAAAAGUUAUUAAUCUAAAAAAUUUACCAAAGAAAAAAAUAGCAAUAGAAAGAAUGAGCAUCAGAUCAAAAGGAAAAUAAAUAAAUAAGGGUGAAAUUGAAAAAAAUCAAAUUUAAAAUUAUCUCAAAUAAAAAAAAGUAAUAAAAAAAUAAGAACCAAAUCUGAUAGACUAAAAAUUGAAGAAUGAUGAAGUUGGAAAAAAGUUCAAUUUUCAAAAUUAAUUACAAUAAAACAAAUAGGGACCACUUCUAUAGAAAAGAAAAAAAAGACUUGGAGGGCUAAUCUAAAAAUCUGGAUGGUCAGACAUGAAUUUCUAGGAGAAAAGGGAAAAGAAGAAAAAAAAAACGAAAAGGUUUUCGACGUCAAACCUAGGUCUAUUGAUCACAUACGCCGCUUAGUGAGGAAUAGGUAGCCGAGACGAUAAAUCAAAUGACACAAUGAAGAAAUGGUUUCAACCACUAGAGUCAGCCACACUCGCUACCAAAAAACCACGGAGCAAAUAACACGUGCAACACACGCGUCAACAACUUUUUUGAUUUAUCAAAAUACCGCAUUGCGCCUAGGACCAAAUAAUCAUUACGAAAAUAUCUGUGUGAAAUGACAAAUAAGUCACUGCAGUAAAACUCUGAGAAUUUUGAUUUUAAGGGUCAUAGAGUCAUUACGAUAUACGUAAAAAAGUAAAAUAUCAAAAAAUCCUCUAGACUAUAGUUAAGUUUUUUUUUUAAGGCAAAAAGUAUUUUAAUUGUGCAAAAAAUAUGAAAAGACCAAGAUGCCCCUCAAAAAUUCUAAAAUGACAAGUGAAUCUUAUUAAAAGAUCAUUUUACCCUGAAGGCUAGUUCUUUGUGAUUUUUUAAAGGGUAAAACAUAAAUUUAUUAUUCCAAUCCAUAAUGAAUCACAUCUACAGUACUUUUUCCACAAUAAUUAGGUUCUGUUAAUUUAAAGGUUGAAAUUGAGAAGAAAAAAAACUAAAUCUAUGAGAUCAAUAUAUAACCUAAUAAAAAUAAAAUUAAAAAAUAAAACUUAUAAAGUAUAAUUUCUAAAAUAAUUUAAUAUUGAAUGAUAAAAUUAUAUUUUAUGAGUGUGCUAUAGUGAUUUAACUACUUAUUUUUGUGUUUUGUUAAUAUACUUGGUUAAAAUUUAAAUGAGAAAUUUAAAAAGAUUUGAGAUCCUGAAUGAGAUAAAAUUUAUUACAUUUUAUUUUAUUUUUUAAAGUAAUACAAGGUAUAUUAGUCAGAAUUAACAACUAUAUGUCGUGUACUAUAUGACAAAGUUAGAAUGAUUUCAAUAAAUCAAUUAUUUAUAAAUAAAUGUUUUUUUUUUACCUCAGCCGCAGUGUGUCACCUAGAAGAGGCAAUUUCCAAGCAGCAACUAGACUGGAGGAAAGAGGAAAGAGGAGAAAUACUAAAAGGAUUAGGAGAAGAAAAGUCCAGAAUUAAAAAGCUUUAUAUGAGACAGAAACAGCCUUGAACAGCAACUCAUCAGCAUGGCAAAAAUCUGAGUUCUGAUUCGAGUUUACUGUUCUGUUAACUAUCUUAUAUUAUAUUAGGAUUAUUUUUAUAAAUUAUUUUCCAUCUAUAAAUAGCCAAAAUGGAUUCCUAUCAGCCAAAUUUUAGAAGGAGGUGAUGUAAUAAUCACACGAAUCUAAUUUGAAGUUCGUGCCUCUACAGGUCAUGAAAGUAAAGAAUCCAAAGAAAGCCAUGGACCAAUCCAUUAUCAAUGUUUUCUCUAUGACAAGCUGGGCUUCAUUAAUACUGGGCUUAGCCCAUGUUUUACAGGGCAUAUUAAUUAGCCCAUCACUUCCAUGGCUAGUGGCUAAAAAGCCCAGAGGCUAAAAACAGGGCUGCAAGCAACACCCUAUGCAUUUUAUACCAGCGGCUAUCGGACAACUGCGUUGUUGUGGGUCAGAUAUUAUUCUUUCUAAUUGAAAAAAUAAAUAAGCAGGUUUUUUCAUUAUAUUUUUUUAAUGGAAUUUUUUUUAUUAUAAAAAAAAACUUAUAUAUACAUUCAAUUAAAUAAAUUGAGAAUUAUUUGUGCUAAUAAAUGACAAAAAAAAAAAAUCAUUAACGAUAACUAAAAAUUAAACUUGAAAAAUUAAAAGAUAGAUGUAAAUCAAAAUAUUUGAUCUAGUAAUAUGAAUCAUGUGCCUGGUUGUGUUUGAUAACUUUAUUUAUUAGAUUUAAUAUUCUAUUUAAUCAAACGAUAAUAGAAAUUGCCACACACAAAAAAAUAAUUGAAUAAAAUAUAAAAAAAUAAUUUAUACAGGAUUACACAUAUAAUAAGAAAAGGUAUUAUCAUUUUAUAUGAGAACCAACUAAAAACUAAAUAACCGAGUUAAUUGUGGUUGAUUUUUUAUUAUUAUUAAAGCAUGUUGUUUUAUUAUUAAAAACAAUAAUUUUAACUGGUCAAGUUUUAAUAAAUCAAAUUAUUAAAAGUUUAGUUGAUUAAUCGAGUUUAAUAACAUCAAUAAUUUUUUUUUUCUUCUACUUGAAAAUUAACCUGAAUAAAUAUUUCAAGCCACAAAUUUUAUGAAUCAACUAAGGUAUAUUUAACAACUAUUCCUUCCGUACAAGUCAAUGGAGAUUUCCAUAACCCCUUCAAAAUCUCCAUUGCUUCCUUACAUUUUCAUUGACAGCUCGCUGACCUAUCCCCACCAAUUAAUUAAUGUGUAAAGGAUCAGGUAAUUGGUCUUCGAUUAUUAUGUACGUUGAUAAAGGGAUUAUUAAUUCUUCCCUCCAAGUACAAUCCUAAUUUAUAAAAUAAUAAUCCAAAUUUCACUAUCUGGUUUGGAUCAGGCAUGGCUGAGCUUGCACCAUUUUUUCCAGGAAACAAGCAUGAUCACGUUUACACCACAGAAGCAAUCAAACGAUCAGGGAUUGAAGAAAGCAAUUGAAAGUGAAAGAAACGGAGGUGCACAGCACCAGCACCAGCACCAUGGAAAAUGGAACCUUUUGCAUUUAUUUGCAAUAAUUGUAAGUACUUACGUGACCCUACAAUAAUAUUUAUACAUCUCACCAACCUUGUUGACCUUAUUGUUUAAUCACAUAAGAUGGUCUCUAUUGAUACUCAAUUUUGGACCCCAUGUGCUGGAGAUAGGGUAUACCCGUUUUGAACCUAGUGUAGAAGUGUAGCUCAUGUUUGCUGGAAAAUUGACAAAGCGGAGGAGAAAGAACAAUUUUUUUUCGACCCCUGUUUGAGCUGUUUUCUACUCUUUUUAUCCUCCCCCUUUGCUGCCAAAAUCGUCAGGUUUCUUAGACUGACUAGGGGUCUUCAUAAUGCUAAAUUCGUUCCUUCGUUAUCAUGUUUUUUAAAGUUGGAUAAAUCCCUCAGAAUUUGCACUAAAAAAAACUGAUUCUGCCGCUGUCGCAAUUUUUUUUCAAACUUAGGCUCUGAUUCUGACAUGGUUUCGUACGAUAUCUGACCAUCCUGGCUAUAUUCUGUCACUCAUGACAUGUUGAAGAAUUGACCUACACCUUUGUUGGGUCCUAGGGGUCGUUGUUCUUAGGGCAGACUCUCAGUCAGAUUUGGAUGCUCAGCAUUGUCAGAUCAAGAAAACCUUUUUGACCAACCAAAUCCUUGCCAGAUUCUGUUAUCUAAAACGAUUUUAUCUUACUUUGAAUCCUUCAUCAAAGUUGUAGUCUGGGACACGUAGAUGAAUUUGGGCUUUUGAAUUGCUUGAUUUCGAUAACAUAAGCUCAAGAUAUUUCUAUUUGAAAUCUAGCGUGAAAACAUAGAAUCCUGCCGCAAGAAAGUUUUCAACCAAGUUUGGUUGCAAUUUUGUUAUUCAAAAUGAAUUUAUCUCAUUUUUUAUCCUUCAUGAAAGUUGUAGCUUUACAAGUGUAAAUGAAUUUAGGACUUUUGAAUCGCUUGAUUUCGAUAUCAAAAGCUCAUAAUAUUCCUGUUUGAAUAUCUAACAUGAAAGCAGAGAAUUCUGUCGCUAGAAGGAUCCUGACCCGAGUUUUACACUAAAAACUCUAUUUCCAUCACAAAUUUUAUUGAUUUGUUCUUAGGUCAUACUCUCAGUCAUAUCAAGAUUCUCGGCAUUGUCAGUUUCUGAACCUUUUUGAUUAACCAGAUUACUUCCAGAUUCUGUUCUCUAAAAUGAUUUUAUCUCACUUCGACUCCCUCGUCAAAGUUGUAGUCCUGGACGCGUAGAUAAAUUUGGGCUUUUGAAUCGCUUGAUUUUGAUAUCAAAAGCUCAAGAUAUUCACGUUUGAAUAUCUAACGUGAAAGCAGAGAAUUCUGCCGCGAGAAGGAUCCUGACCCGAGUUUUGCACUAAAAACUCUAUUUCCAUUACAAAUUUUGUUGAUAUGUUCUUAGGUCAUACUCUCAGUCGUAUCGGGAUUAUCGGCAUUGUUAGUUUCUGAAUUAAAUCAGGAGACCCUUGUUGAUUAACCCAGAUUACUUCCAGAUUCUUUUCUCUAAAAUGAUUUUAUCUCACUUCGACUCCUCAUCAAAGUUGUAGUCCUGGACGCGUAGAUAAAUUUGGGCUUUUGAAUCGCUUGAUUUUGAUAUCAGAAGCUCAAGAUAUUCCCGUUUGAAUAUAUAGUGUGAAAGCAAGGAUUCCUGCCGCGAGAAGGAUUUUUGCCCGAGUUUGCAGGGACACAAUUGCAAGAUGCUUAAAGUUUGAAGAUCAAUUACAGGCCAAUUUGAAGCCCUUUUUUUGGACUAAGGACCAAAUGAAAAAGGUGCUAAAAUAAGGAAGUUGAGUGAAGAUAAAAUUAGAAGGAGUUUUGCCGGAGGAAGAAAUUGAAGAACCACGUUUUCAUCUGCACAGCUAGCCCAGUUUUUCUUUCCUUUUAUCUGCAAUUUCCUGUUUGGUUUCAAUGUUUCUCUCUCUUGAAUGGAGAGCUACAGACCACGUUUUUAUUGCCUCAUUUAAAUGGGAGCAACUGGCUUCUUGGUCCCAGCUAUGGAAGGAAAGAAAGGAGCCAUAUCAUCCUUUAAAAAACUGGAAAGAAAUCAAAUAUGAUCACAAAAUCAGAAUCAAAAUAUUUUGGUUUCCUAUUUCUGCUCACCCGAGAUUACACCCUAGAGUUAAUGUAAUAUUUGUUUCCUAAAUAGAGCUGCGUUUUAGGUUGUAAGCCCCUCUAAUGACCUAGGAAGGGGACGGAAAAAAAAAAAGGGAAGCAGGACAGAAAAGAGAAAGAAAGAGCAGGCAAAAAAACAGAAAAAGAAAGACAAAAAACGCAAGAGAGAACAAGGGAGAAGAAAGUGCAGGAACCAGUAGAGAAAGUGACGAAGACACAGAGGAAAGAAAAAGCAAAAAACAGACGCAAAUACAGAACAGAAGGAAGAGGGUUGAAACAGACGAACACAGAUCGAGCAACCAUCACGCUUUCAACGUUGCUGCAGCUUCUUCGUCUCCAAGUCUGUUUCUCUUCACCUUUUGCAUGCAUUUUUUCUUUGUGUUUGCAUUGUUCAAGUGAAUUAUAAUUCACUUGAACAGUAACGGGGUCUUUUUUAUGGCAUUUUCCUUUGUUAUUGUACUGUUCAAGUGAAUUAAUUCACUUGAACAGUGCUCGCCAACUUUCCUUAAACUUUAAACUGCGCCCUUUUGUGUCACGCCGGGUCACUUGCUUGGCAAGUGACCCGGCCAGACUUACUUUUUUUAAAAAAAUAAAUAAAAGAAUGAGAAAGAGAUUUAUUUUCUGGCAUAUUUAUUUUAAAGUCUGAAUUUUUUAUGUUGUAAAAAAAAAUAUACCAAUCUCGUAUUUAGAAUGCCUGGUUUUCGACGCAAUGUGACAAAUAUAUAUAUAAUGUUUUCAUGCAUACAACCAAUACUCUAACAUGUUUUGAAUGUUUUUUUAUAUAAAAGAAAAUAUUGGAAGUUUCGAAAAUGUGUUUUCUCAUGGAUUUCUUAAACACAACAAAAAUUAUUUUCUUGCAUUUCUGGAUUUUACAACAUGUUUGUAAAACUCCAAAGGGUAUUGGCCAAUAUUCCAAAAAAAUAAAAAAUCUUGUUUUGGGGGGAAUUCAUCUAUUAUUCACCGUUAAUGUUUGGAUAAAGAAAUCCUAAAGGGAUGAAUAUCCAAAAUAUUAUUAGGAAUAACUUGUUAUUAUUCACUGUUAAUAUUUGGAUAAAGAAACCCUAAGUGGUAAAUAUUCAAAAUAAUUUUUUAGGAAUAAUAAGUCCUCACACAUCCUUGAAAGAAGCCUUUAUUAUAAUCGAGGACAUUUCAAUUUUUUUUACUCCACGGUUUACGAGCUGUGAGAGUAUAAAACAUUAAGGCAAAAAUAGGCUUUUAAAGCACCCUAGAUUUCUAAAUUUUUGUCCCUUCUCCUUGCGAUUUAUGAGUCGCAAACUCUUGAAAUACUAAGGGAAAAAUGAGCUUUUAAAGCACAUGGAAUCUCCUUGGAUUUCUAUCUUAAUAAAUUUAGUUUGAAUCAAACCUAGGAAAACUGAUGGGAUUAGAAAACACCAACACCGUAGCAAUUAUAAAGCAAACCAAACACCAAGCAGCUUAUCUUAGGUAGGGCGUACUAAGGGUGCUAAUACAUUCCCUUUACGCAACCAGUCCCUUGCCUUAGAAUCUCUGAAAGACUAGUUAGGGUUUCUAGUGACCAAAAUACUUGGUGGCGACUCCUUUACAUAAAACAAAAAAAAACUGAAAUCAAUCGAGGGUCGCCGCGACGCCGAGCUCCGCCACGACGGUGUGACAGUGUCUCUGCGUAAAAUCUUAUAAAUUAUAUGAGUUUAUUUAUAAGGUUUUAUGGAAUGAAAAAAAUAUUAUCAAUUAAUUAACAAAAUUUGCAUUGGGAUAAUACCAUAGCCAGUCUUUAAUUAGACGUCCUGCAAAACAGGUAGUUGCUUACUGACUGUAUCCACGGGGAAGCAAAUUGGAACCCCAACUUGAAUGUUUUUCGUGAUUGGUUUGAAGAUUCAAGAGAGUGAAAAGAGUUUCUCUUUGAAGACUUUGUUUGAAAAAUGAUUAAGAUCUACUUGGGGUUUUUAUCUUAUUAUAUUUUGGAUUGAUAGCUAUAUAGUGUGGCCCUUUGUAAUGGAGUUACAUAAGUGAGAUUUUGGGUGGUUUUUAUUUUAUUAUUUUAAGACUGGUUAGGAAUAUGGGCACCACGACGGUGCAACUUGUGUUUUUAAAACUAAAAAUAUAUUUUGAUGUGUUUUAUUUGAAAACACAAGUCGCACCGUGCUAUGCAUUUUAAAUAGUAAUUUUCAGUACGUAUAUUUUGUUUUUGAUACCUAGAUUAAAAGAUUUUUUUAUUUAAAAUUUUUUUUAUGUAUUUUCAUAUAAUUUUAAUAUGUUGAUAUUAAGAAUAAUUUUUUUUUAAAAAAAUAUUAUCUCAAGAAAAAAAAAAUUAUAAGAAAACUAUCAUUGACAAAUUACGGUCGCAUGAUGUUGUUUCUGGGCAUUUCAUCCGGCAAAAAAUGACUAGAGAAUAGAUGGAGAUCGAGGGGUUUUUUCAACAAAUAAUAGCACUUUGGAAGAAAACAUCCAAAUUCCAAAGGGACAAAAUCCUAGGACUAUACAAAGAUAAGAGAGCAUAAAAAACAAAGACUAGGAUUUGAAUCUAGAUGUAACAAGCCAUUUAACAAUAUUUGCUGACCAAACAUGUAACAAGCCAUCAACCAUGGAAAAACUGUGACCAUUGACUUGAGAGUACUAGCUAGGCACAAAGUCGUGCAUCAUCUAGCUAGAUGAAAGAGGUCAAAACAACAGCAGCAACACAAAAGGGAUGAUAUAAAUACAACAACAGUACUAAGGUCCAUCAUGACCACUGGAUUUGAAUCCAAUGUUUGAUCUUGGACGUUGACUCAAACCAUCGGUCUUCUGAACUUGAUUUCCCUUUACAUGAUUGUGCAUGGCGCCGAGGGAUAAUAGUCUUCAUAAACAUAUGCACUUCUGCACACAUAGUAACCCCUACUUCGGCAACUACAACAACCAUCUCCCCAUAUAUCACACUCUGACCUUCUACAAGGUACAUAACAAUAUGCAGGUACUGUUGGCGUACAAAAGUGAUGACAGCAUGGGCCUCGGCGGCAUUUAUCACAACAUGUGCAUGGUUUUGGUUUUGGUUUUGGUUCUGGUUCUUUUUCUGGUUUUGGUUUUGGUUUUGGUUCUGGUUUUUCCUUCGGAGGCGGCUUGAUCUCAACGCACUUGACAGUUCGACCUCCUUUGCUGUAUAUUUUUUUCUUGAUCUUUUCAGGACAGCAACCCACCACAGUGAUUGUCACUGUGUUUUCCUUCUUGUCAUAUGUCUGGUUCUGGAUUUCUAUUGUUCAUUAAUUAACAUCAUCAAAUCCAAAAAACUUAGUCACUUCCUUUGGUAAUAAAAACAACUCAAACCUAGCACUGUUUUUAAAGAGAAAAAAAGAAAGACUCACGAGGGAUACCACACAGUACUUUCUUGAUUUUCUUGUGGCAUUUUUCGCAUCCAAGGUCAACCACCUUGAUCACCAUCGUUGUAACUUUCUGUAACAGUACUAGUUAGUGCAUGCAUUUCAUAUAGGACCUCACCAUGAUUAAUCCCAAUAGAAAAACAAAGAAAAUCUCAGGAUAAAUUUAUAGACAGAAAGAUUGGAAGAACUCAAAACAUGUUCUGACAUGGAAGAAUCCGCUGUAGAGAUUAUCAAGAACUUGUACAUAUAUAGGACCUCCACGUAAAAAGAAGAAAAGCCAAAUUAAGAGGAUGCAUUAAAAGAUAAAUUAACACGCACAAAUAUAUAUCAUACCGUUUCGACCAUGUUUUUGUGUAUGCUUUGAUGUGAUGAGACGAUGGAAAUAUGGAGAGUAUAUAUAUAGAGGUGGGGGGCGGGGCGGGGCGCGCGGCGGCUUAAUUUAAUUAAGAUAAAUGCAUGGUUACAUCAUAAGCAGGAGAGAUGUGAGGCCUUAAUUUAGUUGUCCUUGCAUUUUUAGACCAAUAAGAUGAGGAAAUGUGUGGACUUGGGAGUGGAAACUUGAUGCAACCAUCCUAAUAUCAUAUCGUCGCUGCUGACCCAACAAUCUUUCAUCAGCAACAAAUAGUUUUGAUGUUCACAUCUCACCUUCUAUCUUGUUAAUCAAUUCCAAGGUUAACCUAAUACACUAAGAAAAAUUAUUUUUCUUAAUGUAUGAGGUUAAUAUAAAGGAGAUUGUUUCUUACAAUUAUUGAAAAUAAAAAAUCUUUCUAUAUAUAAAAUGGUUAUCUAUACUGUGAAAAAAAUCAAUAUAAAAUAAAGAUGUUUAUAUAUAUAUAUAUAUAUAUAUAUAUAUAUAUAUAUAUAUAUAUAUAAUUAAUUAAUUAAUUUUAAAUAAAAAAUAAAGAAAUGUUUUUAAAUUUUUUAAAAAACACUGUAACACGUUUACAAACAUCCCUAAUUCCUUAUCCUUCGCUGUUAUAGUCAUCAUUGGGUUUCGAAUUCCUAUGGAAUGGAAUUUUUUAUAUAUAAUUGUGAUUUUUUUUAUAUUUCAUGCUGUGCUUUUUUAAAAUAUAUAUAUUCUUAAAAAAAAUAUUAAAAUAAAAAAUAAUAAAUUAAUAAACAUCCUCUUGAGCAUUUAUAUCGAUUUGAAAAAGAGAAAGAGACAGAAGUGGUUAAGCGACGAUGAUAAGUGAAUGGUGAUACAAAAGAUUAAAGGAGUGGCUAUCUGCCAAUUGCUAUGUGCCAAAUUUUAUGAUGCGUUUGCUUGAAGGGAGUAGUUUUUGAAAAAUUAUUUUUAAAUUUUUUUAUGUUUGUUUUUUAUUAAAAAAGUUAAUCAAUAAAAAAUAUUUUUCAAUUAAAUAAAAAUUUAACUUGGUUUUUAGAAAAGUAUUUUCGUUUUAUUUUGGCCGAAAAUAUUUUUCGAAAGUUGUUAAACAUUUAGAAAUGACAUAUUAUUUGCUGAUUAUAUCAAAUUUGGUCCUCAAACUUUUGAUUGCUAUAUAUAUUUUAUUAUGAAUAUUUAUUUUUCAAUUUCAUCCCUUAAAAUUUACUUUUUAUAUUAAUUUUGGUCCUUAUUAUAUUUUUAUAAUUGUUAUUUGCUUUUCCCUUAUCAUUUUUUAAUUGAAAUUUUUUAUCUAUUAAAUUUGAUCCUCAUUCUUUUUAUUUUUAUCUAUUUUAUUUGAAAUAAUAUAUGAAAUGUUAAUUAUUAUUAUUUUAAUUUCUUCAUCUUUUAAUUUUUUUAUUUUUUAGAUUUAAUCUCUAUUAUUUUGAUUAUUAUUUAUUUUAUUUGAGAUAAUUUAUGAAAUUAUAUUUUUCUUUCAAUUUCAUUCUCAUUCAACUUUUUAAUUUGUAAGAUUUGUUCUUUAUUAUUUUAAUAAACUUGAAAAAAAUAAAACAUUAAUAAGUUAUUUUCCAGCUCAUUUUCCAUGACAUAAUCAAACACUGAAAAAUAUUUUUCAACUUAUUUUUCAUUAUAUUAAGAAACAUAAAAAAUAAUUCACUUUUCUAGAAUUUAUUUUACUAUAAUUCAUUUUUUUAAAAAAAAAAUUAUUUUCUAGUAAACAAACAGAGUUUCAAAAGUAGGUGAUAUAAUAAUCACACAAUCUAAUUUGAAAUUUGUGUCUCCACAUGUCAUGAAAGUAAAGAAUCCAAAGAACGCCAUGGACCAAUUCAUUAUCUAAGUUUUCUCUAUGACAAACUGGGCUUCAUUAAUACUGGGCUUAGCCCAUGUCUUACAGGGCAUAUUAAUUAGCCCAUCACUUACAUGGCUAUACCUAGACUGGCUAGAAGCCCAGAGGCUAAAACAGGGCUGCAAGUAACCCCUUAUGCAGUUUAUGCUGGCUAUCACUUCGCGCUACAGGUUAGAUAUUAUUAUUUUUAAUAAAAAUAAUAAAUAAAUAGGUUUUUUCAUUAUAUCUUUUAAUGUAAGAAAUUCUGAUUAUAUAAAAAAAAACCUAUAUAUACAUUCAAUUAAAUAAAUUAAGAAUUAUUUGUACCAAUAAAAAAAAUCAUUAAUAAUAACUAAAAACUAAAUUUAAAAAAUUAAAAGAUAGAUUUAUAUUAAUAUAUUUAAUCUAGUAACAUGAAUUAUAUAUUUGAUGGUGGUUGUAUUUGAUAACUUUGUUUAUUAAACUUAAUCUUCUAUUUAAUUAAACAACAAUAGAAAUUGACACACAUGAAAAUAAUUGAAUAAAAUAAAUAUAUAAAAUUUAUACAAGGUUGUAUAAAUUAUAAAAAUAAAUAUUAUUAUUUUAUGGAAAAACCAACUAAAAACUAAAUAAUCAAGUUAAUUGCGGUUGAUUUUUUAUUAUUAUUAAAGCAUGUCGUUUUAUUAUUUAAAACAGUGAUGUUGAUCCAGUAAAGUUUUAAUAGGAAUUGACCGAGUAAAUCAAAUUAUUAAUAACAUAGUUGGAUUAAACGAGUUUAGUCACAGCAAUAUUUUGUUUUUGCUUGAACUUGACAUCUUUAAAUCAAGAAUUUUAUGAAUGAACCAAUAGGGUAUAAUUAACAACUAUUCCUUCCGUACAAGUCAAUGGAGAUUUCCAUAAUUAACCCCUUCAAAAUCUCCAUUGCGUCCUUACAUUUUCAUUGACAGCUCGCGAACCUAUCCCCACCAUUAAUUAAUGUGUAAAGGAGCAGGAAACGAGUCAAAUAACGUCAACCAAUGAUAAUCUCCAGAUUAUAAGAUAAUAAUCCAAAUUUCAUUAUCUCGUAUGGAUCAUGAGGCAUGGCUGAGCUUACACCAUUUUUUCCAGGAAACAAGCAUGCUCACGUUUACACCACAGAAGCAAUCAAAUGAUCAAGGAUUGAAGAAAGCAAUUGAAAGUGAAAGAAACGGAGGUGCACGCACCAGCACCAUCACCAUCACCAUGGAAAAUGGAACCUUUUGCAUUUAUUUGCAAUAAUUGUAAGUACUUUCGUAACCCUACAAUAAUAUUUAUACAUCUCACCAACCUUGUUGACCUUAUUGUUUAAUCACAUAAGAUGGUCUCUCUGCGUAGAAUAUUAUAAAUUAUUUGAGUUUAUCUAUAAGGUUUUAUGGAAUGAAAAAUAUAUUAUUAAUUAACAAAAUUUGCGUUGGGAUAAUACCACCAUAGCCAGUCUUUAAUUAGACGUCCUGCAAAACAGAUAGUUGCUUACUGACUGUAUCCACGGGGAAGCAAAUUGGAACCCCAACUUGAAUGUUUUUCGUGAUUGGUUUGAAGAUUCAAGAGAGUGAAAAGAGUUUCUCUUUGAAGACUUUGUUUGAAAAAUGAUUAAGAUAUCUACUUGGGGUUUUUAUCUCAUUAUAUUUUGGAUGGAUAGCUAUAUAGUGUGGCCCUUUUUAAUGGAGUUACAGAAGUGAGAUUUUGGGUUUUUAUUUUAUUAUUUUAAAAAUAUAUUUGUUUCCGUGGUUGCUUCUGUGUUUGAAGCAAAUUAUAUAAACAAAACGUUUAAUAAAAUAAUAAAUAUUAUUUACUAUGCAUAGAACCCACUAUAAUUAACGUUUCAAACGCCAGUUCACGGAAAGCAACAUUCUGCUUCUUCCUUUCUUAGCGUCUGUGCAGAGUGAAUUAAUUCACUCCGCACUAUUCACUCCAAGAAAAUUGCCAGGUAAAAGCAUGUAGAGCCAGGUCAUUACUUGGGAGUUACUGUAGACACAAUUUUGUGCGAAAAUUUGUGUUUCUACAGUUACAUUUACAAUGCACUUCUUCCACUAAAUUAAGUGAACCAGAACUUCAGUUAACAUCUACACCUGCAUAUUAAUGAUUAGUGCCAAUCUCAAACGCAAGCUUUAGAUUCUUCCUACAUCGUUAACGUUAGAAACUGCAUAAGUUGAUGAUAUUAAUUCUUGGGUUCCCGCAAGCAGGAAAUUACUGGUUGAUGUAAUUUUGUUCUCCUUGCAGCAUAAAGCUACUUUAAUUGAGGAACUUGAAGAGAGGAUGCAGAAGCUUCAUGAAGAACAGGCAUCACUUAUCUUAGAAAGAAGAACUGCUGAUAAUGAGGAUGAAAUGAUGGAAGUAGAAGCAGCAGUGAAAGCAGCGAUGUCAGUUUUCAAUGCAAGAGGUAAUUCUGCAGCAACAAUUGAUGCUGCCAAAAGUGCUGCAGCAGCUGCAUUAGUUGCCUUGAAAGAUCAAGCAAAUCUGCCAGUGAAGUUAGAUGAAUUUGGCAGAGAUAUCAACUUACAGAAACGGAUGGAUAUGGAGAAAAGGGCUAAGGCUCGUCAACGCAAGAAAACUCGUUUUGAUUCGAAGAGAUUGUCAUACAUGGAGGUGGAUAGUUCUGACCAGAAAAUUGAGGGAGAAUUGAGCACGGAUGAGAGUGAGAGUGACAGUGAAAAAAAUGCUGCUUACCAGUCAACCCGUGAUUUGUUGCUCCGGACUGCUGAGGAGAUUCAGUGAUGCUUCUGAAGCAUAUUCCCAACUUUCAGUGGUGGUGAAAGAUUUGAAACACGGAAGAAAGAACAUGGAAGUGAACAGUGAUCCGUGAAUUAAUUCACUUGUAACUGUUUACGUUAACAGUAUCUCCAUUGUGCAUUGGAGCGCCGCUGAAUUGCUAAAACAAAAUUAUUUUUUUAAUUGCGUUUUAAAAAAAACACAAUUACAUUAUAUUAUUUCCAUUCGCUAAAUUGUUUUACUUGAAAAAUUAGUGUUUAAUAUUAUUUAAUAACAUUAUAUAAAUUAAAAAGAGAUAGCAUGAUGAUGUAUUAUUUGUAGAAUUUGAUCGCAAUUUCAAUUUUAUUUCUGAUGAUAUUUUACUUGAUUUUGUUGCACGCUAAAAAAACUGUGGAAAUUGUAGUCCUUAUCGGAUGAAUUUCAUACGUGAUGAAAUUAUAGAUAAGUUAAUGAAACAAUAAAAAAUAUUUAAUAUAAAGUAUUAUUUAUUUAAUGAUGAAAUAGUGGUACUUAAAUCUACAAUAUUUAAAUUAAAAAUCAUCAAUAUUAAUAUAUAUCUUUUUUAGUUAUUUUAUAACCUCAAUUUGAAAAGUAUGUUUAACCAAACACUUUAAACAAUUUUUUAUUUAACCUCAAUUUCAACCGCAGUUUUAAUUAAAUAUAUAUAAAUACCAAAUCAAUCUCAACCAAAAGUACUUUUGAAAAAAUAACUUUUUUUGAAUUACAAUCACAAAAGUUACCACCAUACCAAACACAUAAAGUUUGGUCAGGAACACAGAACCGCUAUGAUGCAACCAGUGUUUUUAAAACCAAAAAUUUAUUUUAAUGUUUUUUAUUUGAAAACAUAAGUUGCAUCAUAUGCAUUUUAAAUAGUAAUUUUUAGUACAUUUUGUUUUUGAUACCUAGAUUAAAAGAUUUUAUUUUUUUGUUUAAAAAAUUAGUUUUUUUUUUGUGUAUUUUCAUAUAAUUUCAAUAUAUUAAUAUUAAAAAAAAUAUAAAAAAUAUUAUCCCAAACAAAAAAAUAUAUAUUAUAAGAAAACUAUCAUUGACAAAGUACGGUCGAAUGAUGUUGUUUCUGGGCAUUUCAUCCGGCAAAAAAUGACGAGAGAAUAGAUGGUGAUCGAGGGGUUUUUUGAAACAGAUAAUAGCACUUUGGAAGAAAACAUCCAAAGGGACUAUACAAGGAUAAGAUAGCAUAGAAAACAAAGACUAGGUAGUAAAGCCUCCCAUAUUUGCUGACCAAACAUGUAACAAAUGAAGUCGUGCAUCAUCUAGAUGAAAGAGGUCAAAGCAACAGCUAGCUAGCAUCACAAAACAGAUGAUAUAAAUACAACAACAGUACUAAGGUCCGUCAUGACCACUGGAUUUGAAUCCAAUGGUUGAUGUUGGACGUUGACUCAAAUCAUCGGUCUUCUGAACUUUCCCUUUACAUGACUGUGCAUGGCGCCGAGGGAUAGUACUCUUCACAAACAUAUGCACUUCUACACACAUAGUAACCCCUACUUCGGCAACUACAACAACCGUCUUCCCAUAUAUCACACACCGCCCUUCUACAAGGUACAGGACAAUAUGGAGGUACUGUUGGCAUACAAAAGUGAUGACAACAUGGGCCUCGGCGGCAUUUUUCACAACAUGUGCAUGGUUGUGGUGGUGGUGGAGGUGGAGGUGGAGGUGGAGGUGGAGGUGGAGGUGGAGGUGGAGGUGGAGGUGGUGGUGGUGGUGGUGGUGGUGGUGGAGGUGGAGGUGGAGGUGGAGGUGGAGGUGGUGGAGGUGGUGGUGGAGGUGGAGGUGGAGUUAUAACAAUGCACUUGACAGUUGGACCUCCUUUGCAGUAUAUUUUUUUCUUGAUCUUUUCAGGACAGCAACCCACCACAGUGAUUUUCACUGUGUUUUUCUUCUUGUCAUAUAUCUGGUUCUGGAUUUCUCUUGUUCGUUAAUUAACAUCAUCAAAUCCACAAAACUUAGUCACUUCCUCUGGUAAUAAAAACAACUCAAACCUAGCACUGUUUUUAAAGAGAAAAAAGAAAGACUCACGAGGGAUAGCACACAGUACUCUCUUGAUUUUCUUGUGGCAUUUUUCGCAGCCAAGGUCAACCACCUUAAUCACCAUCUCUGUGACUUUCUGUAACAGUAGUAGCUAGUUAGUGCAUGCAUUUCAUAUAGAAAAAAACGUCAUGAUAAAUUUAUAGACAGAAAGAUUGGAAGAACUCAAAAAUAUGUUCUGGCAUGGAAGAAUUAAUCCGCUGUAGAGAUUAUCAAGAACUUGUACGUAACAUAUUGAGAGGAUCGAUGCCUUAAAAGAUAAAUUAAUAAUCUUGUACGUAACAUAUUGAGAGGACCUCCACGUAAAAAGAAGAAAAGCCAAAUUAAGAGGAUCGAUGCCUUAAAAGAUAAAUUAACACACACAAAUAUAUAAUCAUACCGUUUCCACCAUGGUUUUGUGUAUGCUUUGAUCCGAUGAGACGAUGCAAAUAUUGAGAGUAUAUAUAUAGAGAUGGGGGGAGGGGGUUAAUUUAAUUAAGAUAAACACAUCUGAGACAUGUGAGUCUUUAAUUUAAUUGUCCUUGCAUUUUUAGACUAAUAAGAUGAGGAAAUGUGGACUUGGGGGAGUGGAAACUUGAUGCAACCAUCGUAAAUAUCGUCGCUGCUGACCCAACAAUCUUUCAUCAGCAAGAGAUGGUUUUGAUGUGCACAUCUCACCUUCUAUUUUGUUAAUCAAUUCAAAGGUUAAGCUAAAGGAUCGAUAGCCAGGGUUAAAGAAAUUGAUACUAACAUUUAUUUAAAAAAAAAAUUAUUUUUCUUAAUGUAUUAGGUUACUAUAAAGGAUUGUUUCUUAAAAUUAUUCAAAAUAAAAAAUCAUUCUAUGAAUAAAAUGGUUCGAAAUAUAUAUACCAUAAAAAAAAAAUCAAUAUAAAAUAGGGGUAUUAUAUAACUUGACCCAACCCAUUAAAAUCAGAUUAUAUAAAUAUUGUAGACGAUAACUAGUUAAAAAAUCUAAAAAAUAGAUAUUACGAGUCAGGAAACUCAACCUAGUAUGUAUAUAUUCUAUAACAAUAAACUUAAAUAUUUUUUGUUAUAUAUAUUGUUAUUUAUUUUUUUUUUAUUUUUUUUGUAGUUGAUUCUUUCAUUUUAGUUAAUUUAGUUAAUUGAUUCAUUUGAUGUAUUAAGUCAAAAUUAUUUGUUAAAAUUUAUAACAAAAUUUUAAGCUAAUUUAUUGAGCAUAAAUCUUAGUUAUAAUUAAAUUCAAUCCAUAAAAAUUAGUAAUAUAAAGUAUAUAUAUAAUAUUUAUAAAAUAUUUAACCUAGCAAGUUAUAUCCAACUCGAUCGUGUAUAAAUAAAAAUUAAAUAGGUGAAAUUUACAAAACAUUAAAAAUGGUGUUGGAAAUAUCAAACAUACUUCACGGAAUGAUAGUUAUGAACACCGCUAAUAUAAAUGUUGUAUUGUAUCUAUCCUAAGGUACAUUAGUUUGGUGAAAUUUAUAGCUACCUAUUAAUUAGUAGCUAAUUGAAACUCUAUCUCCUUUCUAUUUUAAUAUAAUGAUGUCAUAAAUAUUUUUUUUAAAAAAAUAUUAUUUUAAUAUAUUUUUAAAUAAAAAUUAUUUUAAAAAAUAAUUCUAGCCACGGUACCAAACUAGCUUUAAAUCGAACAUUCUUUUCUCCCGUCGGUUCAUUCAGUCUUAUUUCCCUUGGUCCCUCAGACAGUCCCCAGCCGGUCACCAAUAAUCAAGCGAGUGGCAGGAAAGGCACGAGGAAUUUAAAAAAAAAAAAAAGAUAAAAAAGAGAGUUCUUCUGGGUGUACGAACGUAUUCGAUUGCGAAGAGGCAAGAGCAAUGGGUCCAUUAUUGGAGAGGGGCCAGGAGACCCGAAGAACGUGAUCGAUCAUAUUUUUGUUAGCUAAAUCCAAAAAAAAAAAAAAAAUGAAUGAGGUUUUUAGAAUUAUAGUAACGGUUCUGAUUUAAAUUAUUUUUUAUUUAAAAUUAUAUUAAAAUAAUAUUUUUUUAUUUUUUAAAAAUUAUUUUCAUAUCAGCACAUCAAACCGAUUUGAAAAUAUUAAAAAAAUUAAUUUCAAACAAAAAAUAAAAAAAAUUAUGAUUUUUUAUAUAUAAUUAUAAUUUUUUUUCAUAUUUCAUGCUGUGCUUUUUUAAGAUAUAUAUUCUUAAAAAAUAUAUAUUAAACUAAAAAAUUAUUUUUUUAUUGUUUUUAUUAACACAUCAAAAUAUUAAAAUAAAUUAAAAAUAUUAAAUUACCAUCUUUCCAACUUAAUCACAAUAUCUAUGAAAAAAAAAGGUCCUCCUGAGCAUUUAUAUCUAUUUGGAAAGGAGAAAGAGACUGAAGUCGUUAGGCGACGAUAUUGACAAAUGGUGCUACAAAAGACUUUUAAAUUGCAUGAGUGCAAAACUACAAAAGACUGAAGUGGUGGCUAUCUGCCACUUGCUAUGUGUGGGCACAAGGGACAGAAGUUAAGAAAAAAUUUUAAUAUAUUUUUUAGUGAUUAACUGCUAGUACACUUUUAAAUAUUCUUGAGUAAUGAUUGUUAUUGCAAUUUAUUGUGUUUUUAAGAGUAUUUUUAGUUUAAAAAUAUAUUAUAAUAAAUUUGUUUUGAUUUUUAUUUUAUUUUUUGACAUCAACGUAUUAAAUUCAUCAAAAUAUAUUAAAAAAUCAAUUUAAUACAUUUUCAAUAAUAAAUUUUGUUAGUGUUUGUUUUUGUUGUCAAAUUAUGUUUUUGAAAAAAAUUUAAUUUUUUUUGCUUUAAAUUAAUUUUUUGUGUGUUUUUAGAUCGUUUUGAUAUGCUGAUAUUAAAAAUAAAUUUUAAAAAAUAAUAAUAAAAACUAUUAUUUUGAUACAUUUCUAAGUCAAAAGCAUUUUAAAAAGCAAACACUACCAUAAAAUCAAUCACUACUUUAAUAUAAGCAUUUAGGGGGUGUUCGAAGUGUGGUAACAGUAACUUUUCAAAAUGUUUUUUACUUAAAAAUAUAUUAAAAUAAUAUUUUUUAAAAUUAUUUUUUAUAUUAGCAUUUUAACACAAUAAAAAAAAUAAAAAAUUAUUUUUAAAUAAAAAUUUAAUUUUUUAUAAAACACGUUUUGCAACACAAUUCUAAAGUGGGCCUUCUUGUCAAAAUGCAUGCACGAAUUUGAUCGAUACCAAACCAAAACGCAAACAGGCAGAACCAAUUAUCAUAAUAUGAGUCAAAGUUCUAUUGGAUUCCAUUAUCAGGAACGCUUACACGUCAUAAAAAAGACAAGUGAUUUUGAUGACGUGGCUAUGAAAAGAUGAUGUGACAUCACAAGUCAAUUUCUUUUACUGAUGGAAUCCUUAUGCUAUUCAUUUUAUUUUAUUUCCAUCCUUUUGCUAUAACAUCAUUGCUCCAAAUAAUAUUUUGAAAACAAAUAUUUUUUAUUUUUUUAUUAUAAAUUAAAUAUUUUUAAUAUUAUUUUGAUAGGCUAAUAUUAAAAAUAAUUUUUUUUAAAAUAUAUUAUUUUAAUAUUUUUCUAUAUAAAAAAUAUUUUAAAAGUAUUUGGUAUUGCGAUAAAGAUUUUUUUAAAGUGUUUUUUGUUUAAAAAUAUAUGAAAUAAAAUUUUUAUUAUUUUUUAAAAUAUAUUUUUGAUAUUAAUCUGGUAAAAUAAUUAAAAAAAUUAAUUUAAAACAAAAAAAUUAAAACAAAAAACCGGUGUGUUAAUACUUUGUGAGAAGCCGAUUAUUGAAAUAGUGGUCAGUCAUUAUUAUACAUGCCACCUUUUCGGAACAUGUCUGGAAAAAAAAUCAAUCAAUAAUCGCAUGUCAAGUGUCAAGUAUAUUAAUUGGUGGCCCGCAGCUUAUAGCCGGUCCAAUCAACUUCAUCUUUAAUCUAUCACGAUAAACAUACCACCAUAUUCACAAAUAAUAAUUACUAGCCGUUUAACAUCUAUUAGGUAGAAUAGUAAUAAGAAAUUAGAAUUAUAGGGUUGCUUUAAUGUGAUUUUAAAUUGGGCCAUGUGAUUGUUUGAUUGUUAAUAUGAUAAUUAUUAAAAGUUUAUAUGGUCGUUAAUUUUAGGGUCCGUAGGAUUAGUUGAGGUACAUGCAAGCUGGUCCGGAUAUCCACAUUAAUAAAUAAUAAUAAUAAUAAUUACUAGCCGUUUAACUUGCUAGGUUAUAAAAAUAAUAAUAAUAAUAAUAAUAAUUACUAGCCAUUUAACUUGCUGGGUUAUAAUUCUUUUUAAAAAUAUCAGAUGUAUAGAUUGUUUCAAGGUGUUUUUUGCAUAAAAAAUUCAAAAUAUAAAUUAAAAAGCUAUCUACUUAAAUAAAUUAAUAAUCAUUUAUGUAAAUAAAAAUAAAGUCAUUAACAAUAACCAAGAAAAAAACUGAAAACAAUUGAGAAAUAAAAGUAAAUCAAUAUAUUCAAUUAUAUAAAAUGAAACUUUAACUUGAUUAUGUUUACCGAACUUAUUUAUUCACACCCUAAAAAACUCAUGACUUAAAAAAUAAAUACAAGUAAAAUUAACUGAAUAAACUCAAGCCAUAAAAAAUAUUACACACAUCAGCAAUAUUAUUAGCCAGUCCAAUCAACUACAUAAUUUAUCACGAUAAGUGUCGCGGGGGCGACGUCGUUUGGCGACGGUGGAGGCUCUUUGUCAUGCCCUUGUGUGAGGUGUUGUGUGUUGGGAAGAGUUUUUGAAUUUAAUCAUAAAAUUAUGAUUACUGUUUAGAAGUCGCCACCUAGUAUUAUGGUCACUAGGAACCUAUAGUCUGCGAGAGUCCGAGUAAGGGACUGGUUGUGCAAGGGGAAGACGCAUCACCCCUAGUGCACCCUAUCUAAUGUAAGCUGCAUUGUUGUUUAAUUGUUUUUUUCUAAGUUGAGUUUCUAUUCGUUGAUCUUUUCUAAGGCUCAAAGCAGAUCUCUCUUUAUGAGAGAGUCUCUACCUUAUCAGGUUAAAUUCUAACCACUCUAAAGUCUGAAUUUUAGCAUCGCAUUUUUACACUUUGUAUCUUUAAUACUUGAGGGUGUACUUUAUCGUGUAAUUUUACACCUCACAAAUAUUAAAGUCUACAUCUGGAUCCUAAAAAAAAAAUUGGAAAAAGAUUUUUGACAUGUUAGCCAAAUUCUAAUUGAUAAUCAUAAACUGGUUACAAUAUUCAUUUUUGGAUUUUUUUUAAAACAUGAAAAAGAUGCAAUUUUUGUUUUUUUUAAUGAAAAAUAUGCUUGAGAAAAUUUUAGAAUUUGGCCGUAUGCAAUAAAAUAUUUUUUCUUUUUGAAAAUGUUUUGAAUUUUUUUUUUGAAAUAUUUCGGAGAAAACCAUGUAUUUUAAUACCGGAUUUGUAUUUUAGAGUGUAAAUAUACAACCUGAUAUUAUGCAAAAUUGGUAGAAAAAUAUUUGAAAACAAUUUUUGAAAAGUUUUUAUUUUUUGGGAGCCGGAUUGGACCCGGCCCGGCUGUUUGGGCUGGGGCAGAACUGGUCUGGCCCUAGGUUCACUGGAACAGUAGACGUGCAUUGUAAUUCACGUUCCACUGUUCACUAUAAUUCACGUUCCACUGUUCACUUAUGAACAGUGGAACUUUCAUGGAGAAGACGAAGAACCAGGGGAAGGGUAGCGGACCACCUAGCAUGGCGGUGAUGGCUGGCAUGGGGAGGACGACCUGAAGCCAGCGGUGGAGUUGGCUGCCUGAGUUGGCUGGAGUGGCUGCAGCUGGAAGAGGAAGAAAAGGAAAUCUGCAGAGAGGAGAGGAAGGAGAAAGUCGCGAAUGUUGUUACUGAAAGAAGGUGUUUGGGCGGUGACUUAUGGUGGAAAUGAUGGUUUCCAUACUGCUGAUGGUGGUUGUGGUUGCUCAAGGUGGAGCUGGAGGAAGAAAUGGUGACGAUGUUGGUUUCCUGUGGCGGAGGAAGAAAGAAGAAGAAGCAGAAGAAGAAAAUCUGCAGUGGGAAGAGGGAGGAAGGCUGGUUUUUUGGCUUUCUUUGGACCCGCUUUUCUCCUCACUCAAGUCAUCAACGGAGCCUCUAUUUAUAGAAGGUGGAAGAUGGUAAUCUCGUUACACAGCGGUAAAAUUUCAGCCCUUGAUUCAGAUGGGAAGGAUUCCAAUCGUUCACUCAAAGUAGGCACGAUGCACUGUUAAAUUGUCAAAUCUGUAGCUGCAGGCUGCCUGAGUUGGCAUGUUUAAGAUGGCGCCAGUACUUAUGGGUUGUCCUUCAGACUGGACUAUUCAGAUAGAUCUGUAGAGGAACUGCAGCGGAACAUUUUCAAGUAAGUUUUGGUUAAAUUUGGUGGAGUGCAGAGGCAUUAAAUGCACCUGCGAAAUAGUUAACCUGAGCAGUUAUUUCAGAUAUUUAAAGAAGAAGAUGAACAGUACCAAAGUUCUGAUUUUGGUCAAAGUUCAUUUUAGUCCUCCCUCUUUAAAUUUGAUUUAAUUGCACCUAUAAUUGACCCUAAAACUUUAAUUUUCUUACGAUUUUGCUCCUGAUUUUGUCAAUUGAACCCGCAUAGUUGGCCUCCUGCUGCAGAAUGAUCAUUGGUUGCGAAUUUUGUCAAUUUAACCAUUAAUUGACCCCAAAACUUCAAUUUUCUUACGAUAAGGCCCCUAAUUUCAAUCAAUUAACUUGGUAAAAAUUAAACUUGAUCUAUUAAAAUCCUUAUAUUGUCAAUUAAGCCUAACUUAGGCUCCAAAACUUAAUUGUUCACCAAUUAAGCCCCAAAUAAAAUUAAUUUGAAUCAUUCAAAGUAUAAUUAAGUCCUUGCACUUAAUUAAAUCCUUCAAUUGGACUCAAAUUAAUUCUUAAACAUAAUUAAAAUUUAAUUUGGCCCAUGAUUAAAUCAAAUUGACCUAUUAAAAAUUUAAUUAUGUCAUUGGACUUAAUUUUUAUGCAAAUUCUUCCAAUAAUCAUUUAAUUUGAUCUUGAAUUUGUAUUUUUUCUUAAUUUUUGAGCAUAAUUGCAGCUUGAUCAAAUUAAUUCUUAAUUUUUGAAUUUGUACAAUUAGGCCUUGAAUUUUCUCCAAAAAUUGAAGCUUGAUUUCCCGGCCUGCUUUCUCCACGUUGCCAGCCUUUAUUUUAUUUUUUUGAUUUUUAUUUUGAAAAAAAGUGAAUUUUUGGGAACAACCCAUAAUUGGGUUAUGACAAUAAACAUGCCACCAUAUUCACAAAUAGUAAUUAUUAGCCGUUUAACUUGCGAUUCUUUGUGGGUUAUAAUUUUUUUAAAAAAAUAUUGGGUAUACAAGCUAUUUCAAAAUGUUUUUUACAUAAAAAAAUUUUGAAGUAUAAAUUGAAAGGCAAGCAAGCAUCUAAUUAAAUAAAUCGUUAAUCAUUUAUGUAAAAAAAAAAAAUUGUUAAUAAUAACCUUGAAAAAAAACUGAAAAAAUUGAGAGAUGAAAGUAGAUUAAUAUAUUCAAUCACAUAAAAUAAGAUUUUCACCAGAUUGUGUGUACUGAACUUAUUUAUUUAAAUUAAUAAAAGAUAAAUUCACACCCUGAAAAACUCAUGACUUAAAAGAUAAAUACAAAUAAAAUUGACUAAAUAAAACCAAACCAUAAAAAUAUUACGCAACCCCAUACACAUCAACAAUAUUAUUGAAAAAUGAAUAUCUUUUAUUUAAAAAAAAUAAAUUUUAUUUGAAUAAAAAAAAUAUAGAUAAAUUAGAAUAAUAUCUUGAAAAAUCAAACAAAAAUAGAAAAACUAAAAAAACUUAUAUUAAAAAAAGGCAUGCAAAACUAAUAACCUAAAUCAUGAGACUAGGAUAAACCCAUAUAAAAAACUUGAAGAUAAUCACAAAACCAAUAUGAAAAAAUAUUAAUGUAGAAGGAUAAGAUUGUACAAAGCCGAAUCCCUAACAAAUUAAAUGUCAAAAGAUGAAACCAGUAAAAAAACCAAUUACAUAAAAGGAUCUAAAAAAUUAAGCGUGAAAAAAAAUUAAUUAGAGGGAUAAAAAUCUUCAAUUGGAGAGUUAAAUUGAAUUGAUAAAAAGAUUUAAUAGAAAGAAAAAAAAUCAAAAGAAAGAUGGUCGAACUGAAAAAAACAACAAAAAAAUUAUUUAAAGGAUAAAAUUGAAAGUUAAUAAAACUUUAACAAAAGUGUCAAGGAGAAGGAAAAAAAGGACCAGAAUGAAAAACAAAACACAUAAGAAAUUGCAAUUAAAGGACUAAAUUGGAAAAAAAACGUUAUAAAAGGAAUAAGAACGAAAUAAAAAAUUAAGAGAAUGAUGACUGAAAUUAAAAAAAAUAUAUGAGAAAUAUUAAUUGAAGUACUAAAUUGAAAAGAAAAAAACUUCUAUAAAUGAAAGAAAAAUGAAAUAAGAAAUAAAGAGAAUGAGGACUGAAAUUAAAAAGUAAAAAAACAAAAAGGACAAUAAUGUACAUUACCUGUAGGAAAUAGAAAACAAUGAAAAAAAACCAAAUAACCACUAGCGACAAUUCAACCACAAUCAGUUGCCACGUGCCGCUCCACACGGAAAAUGACACGAUAGAAUAUCUAAGGAGAUGACAAACGAAUGAUUUUGGCCAUCGGGUGGCAUUCCACAGCCAAUAGCUUUUCUCAUUUAAAAAUUCAAAAAUAAUGUAAAAAUACCAAAAAGACCCAAUGACCCUGGCAAUUAUAUUAAAUACUCGUGUGAAAGUACAAAAACCCCCUUAAUGCAAAACUUAUUUUUUGUAUUUUUCAAGUUUAAAGACAUACUUUAACUAUACAUGGAUAUUUGAAAAUCUCAGAAAACCCUCAUUUAGCAGCACAAUAAUUUUUUGACACUGGAGGUAAAUAAGUAUUUUUACUAUUAAGAAACUUAUGAAAAGUCAAGAAAGCCUCUGGUCAACAGUUGAAUUUUUUUUUUUUACUUUUGGGGUAAAAUAAUAUUUUUACUAUGAUAAAAAAACUAAAAAAGACGUAAACACCCCUGUAGAAUCUUUUAAUAACAAAUAAGCUAGGGAAAAAGACUAAGACAUUCCCACCCUUAAGGCUUCAUCUUUUUUCCACUCAAAGGAAAAAUGAUAAUUUUAUUAUAACAAUCCACAAUAAACUGUUUCUUAGGCUACGGUGAAACUCCCAUGGGUUUUAAAGUUUUUGUUAACUAGUUUUUUUAGUCGCACAGUUGAGGGUCGGCUCAUUUUUUUUCAACUUUUAAAAAAUAUAAAUACAUAAGAGAGUUAUAAACUCGAUGCACAUGUGCUGAAGCACUUUUAAAAUAUUUAAAUGGUCAUGUAUUGGAUGAGCUGUAUUUAAAAAAAAUAUUGAGAUAACGACACAUUAGAUGAACAUGGGUCAACCUAUAAAACUUGCGAUAUGGAUAAUGUGAUCAUGAUAAAACCAUGGAACCCAUAUUAAAACAAAUUAGGAAGCUCAAUUAUAAUGAACCAAAUAUUGAAGGUCAAAAGUGAAAAAAAAAAUUUACAAAAAGGACCCGAGAAAGUGACUCGAGUAAACCUACAUCGAUGGUUUACACAAUGCCGCAGGUCUACCAGAUUUUUCUUAAUGGAAAAAGAAAAAGUUCAGGCGACACUAGAAUUUCUAAAGAAGUAAAAAAAAUUGAGACUCAGGUCAUUGAGUCGAUUGAGUUUAAUAAGUUCAGUUAAUUUAAUAAAAUAAAAAAAGGCAACCCAAAUUUAAUAAUAUGAAAAAACAAGCAAUUUCGGGCAACUAUUCUAAAGUUAGGUUAAUAUCUCAAAUUCAUAACUUGUGAAAUCGUAGACCGGAAUUCAAUUAAGAAACUCAAUUCUCAACCGAUUUAAUGUUUAAGAAUAAAAUUGAAAAAAAAAUAUUAUUAAUCUAAAAAAUUUAUCAAAGAAAAAAAUAGCAAUAAAAAGAAUGAGCAUCAAAUCAAAAAGGAAAAAAAUGAAUGAGGGUGAAAUUGAAAAAAAAUCAAAUUCAAAACUAUCUUAAAUAAAAAAAAAUAACAAUCAAAAUAUUAAAAACCAAAUCUGUCAGGCUAAAAAUUAAAGAAUGAUGAAGUUGGAAAAAAGUUCAAUUUUCAAAAUUAAUUACAAUAAAAGGGACCAAUGCCAUAGAAAAAAGACUUGGAGGGCUAAUCUAAAAAUCUAGAGGGUCAGACAUGAAUUUCUAGGAGGAGAGAGAGAAAAAAAGGGUUUUCGACGUCAAACCUAGGUCCAUUGAUCACACAUGCCACUUAGUGAGGAAUAGGUUGCCGCGAUCAAUUGAAUGACACAAUGAAGAAAUGGACCUAGGUUAAUAUUUUAAACUUAGGUUAAUAUCUCAAAUUCAUAACUUGUGAAAUCGUAGACCGGAAUUCAAUUAAGAAACUCAAUUCUCAACCGAUUUAAUGUUUAAGAAUGAAAUUGAAAAAAAAAUAUUAUUAAUCUAAAAAAUUUAUCAAAGAAAAAAAUAGCAAUAAAAAGAAUGAGCAUCAAAUCAAAAAGAAAAAAAUGAAUAAGGGUGAAAUUGAAAAAAAAUCAAAUUCAAAACUAUCUUAAAUAAAAGAAAAAUAACAAUCAAAAGAUUAAAAACCAAAUCUGUCAGGCUAAAAAUUAAAGAAUGAUGAAGUUGGAAAAAAGUUCAAUUUUCAAAAUUAAUUACAAUAAAAGGGACCAAUGCCAUAGAAAAAAGACUUGGAGGGCUAAUCUAAAAAUCUAGAGGGUCAGACAUGAAUUUCUAGGAGGAGAGAGAAAAAAAAGGGUUUUCGAUGUCAAACCUAGGUCCAUUGAUCACACAUGCCACUUAGUGAGGAAUAGGUUGCCGCGAUCAAUUGAAUGACACAAUGAAGAAAUGGACCUAGGUUAAUAUUUUAAACUUAGGUUAAUAUCUCAAAUUCAUAACUUGUGAAAUCGUAGACCGGAAUUCAAUUAAGAAACUCAAUUAUUAACCGAUUUAAUGUUUAAGAAUGAAAUUGAAAAAAAAUAUUAUUAAUCUAAAAAAUUUAUCAAAGAAAAAAAUAGCAAUAAAAAAAAUGAGCAUCAAAUCAAAAAGAAAAAAAUGAAUGAGGGUGAAAUUGAAAAAAAAUCAAAUUCAAAACUAUCUUAAAUAAAAGAAAAAUAAUAAUCAAAAGAUUAAAAACCAAAUUUGUCAAGCUAAAAAUUAAAGAAUGAUGAAGUUGGAAAAAAGUUCAAUUUUCAAAAUUAAUUACAAUAAAAGGGGCCAAUGCCAUAGAAAAAAAGACUUGGAGGGCUAAUCUAAAAAUCUAGAGGGUCAGACAUGAAUUUCUAGGAGGAGAAAGAAAAAAAAAAGGGUUUUUGACGUCAAACCUAGGUCCUUUGAUCACACAUGCCACUUAGUGAGGAAUAGGUUGCCGCGAUCAAUUGAAUGACACAAUGAAGAAAUGGUUGCAGCCACUAGAGUCAACCACACUUGCUACCAAAAAACCGCGGAGCAAAUGACUUUUGCAACGCACGCGUUAACAACUUUUUUAAUUUAUCAAAAUACCACAUUGCGCCUAGGACCAACUAGUUACUACGAAAAUACCCUUGUGAAAUGAUAGAUAAGUCACUGCAAUAAAACUUUAAGAAUUUUGAUUUUAAGGGUUAUAGAGUCAUUGCAAUGAACUAAAAAAAGUAAAAUAUCAAAAAAUCUCCUAGACUAUAGUUAAGUGUUUUUUUUAUAAGACAAUCAAGUAAUUUAACAAUGAAAAAAAAUUAUGAAAAAACUAAGAUGCCCCUAAAAAUUCUAAAAUGACAAGUAAUUCCUAUUAAAAGACCAUUUUACCCUAAAGGCUAGCUCUUGGUGAUUUUUUGAAGGGUAAAACAUAAAUUUAUUCUUCCAAUCCAUAAUGAAUCACGUUUAUUAUACAAAAUAUGUUCCCUAUAAUAAUUAAAUUUUAUUAAUUUUAAAGGUUGAAAUUGAAAAAAAAAACUAAAUAAUCAGCAGGCAUCAUCUCUCGUGUAAUUUCUUCCAAUCCAAACAUGUAACAAGCCAUCAACACUGACUUGAAAAUACUAGCUAGGCACAGACAAAGUCGUGCAUCAUCUAGACGAAAGGGAUGAUAUUAUAAACACAACAACAGUACUAAGUCCCAUCAUGACCACUGGAUUUGAAUCCAAUGGUUGAUGUUGGACGUUAACUAUGCAAAUGUCUAUCACUUUGCUGCCGGUUAGAUAUUAUUAUUUUUAAUAGAAACAAUAAAUAUAUAGGUUUUUUUAUUAUAUCUUUUAAUGUAAGAAAUUCUGAUUAUAAAUAAAAAAGGAUCUAUGCAUACAUUCAAUUAAAUAAAUCAAGAGUUAUUUAUACCAAUAAAAAAAAAUUAUUGACAAUAACUAAAGAUUAGACUUGAAAAAUUAAAAAAUAGAUAUAAAUUAAUAUAUUUAAUCUAAUAACAUGAAUCAUGUACGUGGUUGUGUUUGAUAAUUUUAUUUAUUAGAUUUAAUCUUAUUUUUAAUUAAACAAUAAUAGAAAAUUUUGUUUUUGCUUCAACUUGACAUCUUUAAAUCAAGAAUUUUAUGAAUGAACCAAUAGGGUAUAAUUAACAACUAUUACUACUGUACAAGUCAAUGGAGAUUUCCAUAAUUAACCCCUUUAAAAUCUCCAUUGCUUCCUUACAUUUUCAUUGACAGCUCGCUAACCUAUCCCAUGGUAGCAUUCUUCUUCUGUCAUCCCCACCAAUUAAUUAAUGUGUAAAGGAUCAGGGAACGAGUCAAAUAACGUCAACCAAUGAUAAUCUCUAGAUUAAGAGCUUACGUUCAUGGCUUCAUAUAAAACUAUAUAUACAUCACGAAAAGGAAAUUGGUCAAUCUCAAACGAUUAACAUCUACACACAGUUCACGGAAAGCAACAUUUACUAUGCAUAGAACCCACUAUAAUUAACGUUUCAAACGCCAGUUCACGGAAUUGAAAGCAACAUUCUGCUUCUUCCUUUCUUAGCGUCUGUGCAGAGUGAAUUAAUUCACUCCGCACUAUUCACUCCAAGAAAAUUGACAGGUAAAAGCAUGUAGAGCCAGGUCAUUACUUGGGAGUUACAUUUACAAUGCACUUCUUCCACUAAAUUAAGUGAACCAGAACUUCAGUUAACAUCUACACCUGCAUAUUAAUGAUUAGUGCCAAUCUCAAACGCAAGCUUUAGAUUCUUCCUACAUCGUUAACGUUAGAAACUGCAUAAGUUGAUGAUAGUGAUUCUUGGGUUCCCGCAAGCAGGAAAUUACUGGUUGAUGUAAUUUUGUUCUCCUUGCAGCAUAAAGCUACUUUAAUUGAGGAACUUGAAGAGAGGAUGCAGAAGCUUCAUGAAGAACAGGCAUCACUUAUCUUAGAAGGAAGAACUGCUGAUAAUGAGGAUGAAAUGAUGGAGGUAGAAGCAGCAGUGAAAGCAGCGAUGUCAGUUUUCAAUGCAAGAGGUAAUUCUGCAGCAACAAUUGAUGCUGCCAAAAGUGCUGCAGCAGCUGCAUUAGUUGCCUUGAAAGAUCAAGCAAAUCUGCCAGUGAAGUUAGAUGAAUUUGGCAGAGAUAUCAACUUACAGAAACGGAUGGAUAUGGAGAAAAGGGCUAAGGCUCGUCAACGCAGGAAAACUCGUUUUGAUUCGAAGAGAUUGUCAUACAUGGAGGUGGAUAGUUCUGACCAGAAAAUUGAGGGAGAAUUGAGCACGGAUGAGAGUGAGAGUGACAGUGAAAAAAAUGCUGCUUACCAGUCAACCCGUGAUUUGUUGCUCCGGACUGCUGAGGAGAUUCAGUGAUGCUUCUGAAGCAUAUUCCCAACUUUCAGUGGUGAAGAAAGAUUUGAAACACGGAAGAAAGAACAUGGAAGUGAACAGUGAUCCGUGAAUUAAUUCACUUGUAACUGUUUACGUUAACAGUAUCUCCAUUGUGCAUUGGAGCGCCGCUGACUUGCUCAAAUAAAAUUAUUUUUUUAAUUGAGUUUUACUUGAAAAACUAAUGUUUAAUAUUAUUUAAUAAUAUUAUAUAAAUUUAAAAGAGAUAGCAUGAGGAUGUAGCAUUUGCAGAAUAUAAUCGCAAUUUAAAUUUUAUUUCUGAUGAUAUUUUACCUGAUUUUGUUGCACGCUCAAAAAACUGUGGAAAUUGUAGUCCUUAUCGGAUGAAUUUCAUACGUGAUGAAAUUAUAGAUAAGUUAAUGAAAUAAUAAAAAAAUAUUUGAUAUAAAAUAUAAUUUAUUUAAUGAUGUAAUAGUGGUACUUAAAUCUACAAUAUUUAAAUUAAAAAUCAUCAAUAUUAAUAUAUAUCUUUUUUAGUUAUUUUAUAACCUCAAUUUGAAAAGUAUGUUUAACCAAAUACUUUAAAUAAUUUUUUAUGUAACCUCAAUUUCAAUCACAGUUUUAAUUAAAUAUAUAUAAAUAUCAAAUCAACUUCAACUAAAAAUACUUUUAAAAAAAUAAUUUUUUUAAAUUACAACCAUAAAAAUUUCCACCAUACCAAACUCACAAAGUCUGGUCAGGAACACAUAUCCGCUAUGGUGCAACAUGUGUUUUUAAAACCAAAAAUUUAUUUUAAUGUUUUUUAUUUAAAAACACAAGUCGCAUCAUAUGCAUUUUAAAUAGUAAUUUUUAGUACAUUUUGUUUUUGAUACCUAGAUUAAAAGAUUUUAUUUUUAUUUAAAAAAUUAGUUUUUUUGUGUAUUUUCAUAUAAUUUUAAUAUAUUAAUAUUAAAAUAUAUAUAUAAAAUAUUAUUCCAAACAAAAAAAAAAUAUUAUAAGAAAAUUAUCAUUGAGAAAGUACGGUCGAAUGAUGUUGUUUCUGGGCAUUAUAUCCGGCAAAAAAUGACUAGAGAAUUGACGGAGAUCGAGGGGUUUUUUGAAACAGAUAAUAUAUAUAUAGCACUUCGGAAGAAAACAUCCAAAGGGACUAUACAAAGAUAAGAUAGCAUAAAAAACAAAGACUAGGUAGUAAAGCCUCCCAUAUUUGUUGACCAAACAUGUAACAAAUGAAGUCGUGCAUCAUCUAGAUGAAAGAGGUCAAAACAACAGCAGCAUCACAAAACAGAUGAUAUAAAUACAACAACAGUACUAAGGUCCAUCAUGACCACUGGAUUCGAAUCCAAUGGUUGAUGUUGGAUGUUAACUCAAACCAUCGGUCUUCUGAACUUGAUUUCCCUUUACAUGAUUGUGCAUGGCGCCGAGGGAUAAUAGUCUUCAUAAACAUAUGCACUUCUGCACACAUAGUAACCCCUACUUCGGCAACUACAACAACCAUCUCCCCAUAUAUCACACUCUGACCUUCUACAAG
rnacentral:lncRNA from 1 species